UGAGUGUCUAUUUUGGCUUCCAUAUAUCGUCUGUACAUGUGAGAGGUAUAGUGUUCAAUAUGUAUUUGGUUUCUAUAUUGUUAAUGGAUCCUUUUUUUUUUUUUAAUUUUAAUAUAAUUUUAUUAAGGUAACCAAGUUGCAGGAUGACAUCAGAACACUUGAUCUGCAGGUAAACCUUCAAUUUCCAUAUGAAGUUUGCAUGUUCGUUGUUUCUGGAAUUUGAGUUUUUAUUAUUUCUCAAUUCUAUCACAUAGAUUACGAUUUCACAUAUGUGAUUAUUAAUGGCAAUUAUAUGAUAGAAGAAUUGGGAUUGGAAGAAGAUAUUGAGUUGUUUAUUUAUGGGGAUUAGAAAAUGAUUAUCAUACAAGUGAUAUUUAUUUUUGUGUGGAUUGUUAAUAUAUAAAACUAUAAGCUUUUGAGAUUGGGAGAUAAAACCCACAAAUUCAAAUCAGACAAAAUAAAUAAAAAAUUUAACUGACUUAAAGAUCAAACUCCAAAAGGGUAUUAAAAACAAGGCUUAUUUGAUCCAUUGAGUGUGAAAGUUUUGAGCUUUGAAGAAGCAUAGGAGGAGAGUUGUUAACCAAGCUGCAUUAUCCAUGUAUUAGGAUGUUGAGGGUAGGCAGGAAAAAUACUUUUUGACGCCAUAUCCAGAGGAGCAUAACGACAGGCCUGCAUUUUUGCAGCAAGGACCAAAACAAGUAGAAGUGAAGGCUUGACUGUUUGGGUAUUAAUCCUAAACCUAAUUAUUCUUAUUUAGGUUUAGGAUAAAUGAUUGAGUGUGUCUCGAUGAUUGUAUUACCAUGUUUGAUGAAUGACUUGAGGAGUUGGAAAUGGUUUAUUGCUUAUGUUUUUCUUAGGUGUGUACUUUGGUUAUUUCCGAGCUUUUCACGACUCUUGAUACCUAAUAGAGAAAAUGGAAACCCCAACUUUAAUUUUAUGAAUUGGUUUUGGUGCCUAAAAUGAAAUCUAGCAUAGUGAAAUCUUGCAUAAUGAAAUUAUGACAAAUUUCCCUUCAUCUUUAGAUUUUCAUUUAGUUCAAUUUGUAUGCAAUUUAGGGUUAUUCAAUUCAUGAGUGAUCAAAUUAUGUUUUUAAUUCCUUCUUCUUUUGAUUUACAGUUCAACAUUGUCGUACAAAAUGAAAAAGGUGCCAGUAACAUAGUUAUGGAUUUGGAUGCCUUUAGCGGAAUAAAACUGAAUUUUUUAACUUUGUAUAGUUGUAAACAUAAAAUACUCCAUCAGAUAGACUCAUAGCAUUUGAAAACAAUCCUUGAGGAUGGCAUAACAACAUCUCCAACUUUUGUCAUGUAAUGUAUGAAUGUAAAUAGCACUUUGUAAACAUAUGGAUGUAAUAUAUGUAUAUAAACAGUCUUUAGCAUGUAUAUUUUUCAAAACUUUCUACAUCUUCAACAAUGUUUCAAUGAUUUCUUGAUGUAAACAAUGAUAAUUUGAAGAACCAUUUAAAGUUUUCGGUAAUCAGCAUACUUAAGCUUAAAUGUGAUAUAUCCGUUUAGUAUUUUUUAUACAGUGAUAAUACUCAAGUAUAAUUUACAUCAUAUAUCUUUUGAAGUACAUGAAACUAUGAAGAAAAAACCCUAAUUAAUCUGAUUAUGGGGGUUUUGUUUUAUAUCAAAAUAUUGCAGCAGAAGUCACACUUUGAAGAGUUCACGCUGCACAGAAAGACGAUGAAAUGCUAUCUGUUGAGUCCAUCAUUGCUCCAUUGGAGACAGAGCUGAAGCUUGCUGCAGGUGGUAUACUUUUGUUCUGCAAUAUGACCCCUUUAAUUUUAUUUUAAGACAGAUAGGGUUGAAAAGAAUUUAUGUAGUAUUUUUGUAUCAGUUUUGAAUGUCUAUUUUGACUUCCAUAUUUGGUCUGUACAUGUGAGGUAUAGAGUGUUCAAUAUGUAUUUGGUUUCUAUAUUGUUAAUGGAUCUUUUUUUUUUGUUUUUUAGGUAACCAAGUUGCAGGAUGAAAACAAAACACUUGAUCAGCAGGUAAACCUUCAAUUUCCAUAUGAAGUUUGCAUUUUUGUUGUUUCUGGAAUUUGAGUUUUUUGCAGGAUGAAAACAGAACACUUAAUCUGCAGGUAAACACUUGAUUUGUUAUUUCCAAGCUUUUCACGACUUUCGAUACCCAAUAGAGAAUAUGGAAACCCCAACUUUAAUUUUAUGAAUUUGUUUUGGUGCCUAAAAUGAAAUCUAGCAUAGUGAAAUCUUGCAUAAUGAAAUUAUGACAAAUUUCCCUUCAUCUUUACAUUUUCAUUUAGUUCAAAUCGUAUGGUUUAGGGUUAUUCAAUUCAUGAGUGAUCAAAUUAGGUUUUUAAUUCCUUCUUCUUUUGAUUUUCAGUUCAGCAUUGUCGUAUUUUGGAUGCCUUUAGUGGAAUAAAACUGAAUUUUUUUAACUUUGUAUAGUUGUAAACAUAAAAUACUCCAUGAGAUAGACUCAUAACUUUUGAAAACAAUCUUUGAGGAGGGCAUAACAACAUCUCCAACUUUUGUCAUGUAAUGUAUGAAUGUAAAUAGCACUUUGUAAACAUAUGUAUGUAAUAUAUGUAUAUAAACACCACUCUUUAGCAUAUAUAUUUUUCAAAACUUUCUACAUCUUCAACAAUGUUUCAAGCCCCGCGGCAACGGGCGGGUACACUUGCUAGUAUACAUCUAAAAUUAUAAGACUAAAUCCUUUAGUUCUUGGAUUCAUCUAAGAACUACUUAUUCCAGCAGAUGCUAUGCUUGCACUACUAGAAUUUAUGGCUUGCCCUGUCAACUAUUGCGCGACAGAAGAUUUCGUCGGUUUCACCUUUUUUAACCGACAGAAUAUAAGUUUAGUAGGGCAAAAUCAGUCAACAAACUGGGUUGAUUGAAUAAAUUUACAGGAUGGCUAGAGUUCGUAGGUUAAGACAUCGGUCGUUGGGCAAACAUUUGGAGCGAAGAUGUGAGUGUUUUAACUGACGAAUAAGCUGGUCGUCAUGUAGAUCUUCUUUCCCGACGGACGGUUCAACAGGUAGCUCUUUGGAUAAUAAUUCAUCUUCAAGGGGAACAGGUUGCCCCUCAGAUGAAUGGUUAGAGGCAAUUGUGAGACUAUAAUUUUCUAGGGCCGGAAUAAAAAAUACAUAAACCCUCACCUAUUCUGUCUCUGUAACCAUCCACCAAAUACCCAUUUUUCCCUUUCUAUUUCUCUCCUAGUAAUUUCCCCUGACCGAAUCACACAAUCCAACCAACUCUCUUUAAGCCUCCCUCACUGAUUCCAUGGAUUUCAUGGACUUAUCCCACCCUCUCUCCUUCCUUCUAUAUAUAGCAAGUCCCCUUGCCUCAGUGUCCCUGGCAACAGAAUUUAUGGCGUUUCUUCGUUCUUUCAAUUAUUUGAAAGCUUCCCUGCCCUGCAAUCUUGUAUAAAGGCGUAUGGUGUUUCAUCAGUUCCAUUUGGUGGUCGGGUGGGAAAUGAAAUUAAAACACUGCAUUUCAAAUGCAUUUCAAAUGGUCUAAACCAAAUUGAAUCAAAUGUGAAGCAAAGGGCAAGAGGUGUAGAUUGAAGAACAAUGGCACCAAGAGCGAAAUUGAACUUGUUGACAGGAGGAAACCAAGUAAGGAUAACACGUCUAAAUCUUAUUUUGAAUCCAUUCAGCUCAUGAUGUUUUGAAUGAUGAUGAUCGGUAUACUCUGCUACAUGCUGUGAUUUUUCCGCUUUCAUGUAAUUAACGGCUUAUAUUUGUGGUAACCAUAUUGAUUAAAAAAGGUCGUACCCAGUGCACAAGGCUCCCGCUUUACGCAGGGUCUGAAAGGUGAAUGUCGGCUAGCCUUACCCCCAUUUUAUGGAGAGGCUGCUCCAAAGUCUCAAACCCAAGACCUACCGCUCAUGGGCGAAGACACUUGCCAUCGCACCAAGUGCGAUAUUGAUUAAUUUCGAGAAAUGACAGUCUAAUUUUUGCAACUGUCUUUUGCAGGCAAAACAAAGACGUUUGCAAGGGUGAGUUGUGUAGGAGCUUUGUUUCAUGUCCAAAGGACACUUGAGAAUAAAUGUUUACACUCAUGGAUAAUAUCUAUCUAUUUGCAGGAGUAACCCUGGGUUCAUUUGUUCUGUAACUGCUGGUCAUUGCGGCAUAUCACGCCUAUAGCACUGACAAAAGUAAAAAGAGAAUCGAAUGAAAUUUGAUAAGUUUUCAGCGGACUACAAAGAUCUUAAGCCAAGCAUAUAUUCCCAUGCAGAUAUUAAGAGGUUUACAAAUCAAUUCAAGUACAAGUUGGGCCAAGGAGCAUACGGAACUAUUUUUAAAGGAAUGCUUUUUUCUGAAUGCUUUGUUGCCAUGAAGUACUUAACAAUGGGCCAUAUUCACCAUGUCAAUGUGGUUCACUUGGUUGGUUUUUGUGCUGAUGGAUUUAGAUGAGCUCUGGUUUAUGAGUUCUUUUCCUUUGGUUCACUCCAGGAUUAUAUUUCAUCAGUAGAUAGAUUUCUUUCCUUGGUUGGCAUAAGUUACAAGAUAUUGCUAUCAGCAUAGCCAAAGGAACCAAGGAUGUGAUCUACAAAUCCUCCAUUUCGAUAUCAAACCCCAUAAUGUUUUGCUCAACCAAAAAAUCACGCCAAAAAUCUCUGAUUUUGGUCUGGCCAAGUUAUGUUCCAAGGAUCAAUCGGCGUGACUAAAGCAAGGGGGACUAUGUGACUAAAGCACCCGAAGUGUUUUCCAGGAAUUUCGGAAAUGUGUCUUACAAGGCAGAUGUCUUGAAUGCUGCUGCUUGAGAUGGUAGGAGAAAAGAAGAAUAUUGGUUCAACCAGAGGACACGACAAAUGAAAUCUACUAUCCAAAAUGGAUUUAUAAUCUUCUAGAGGAAGGAAAUGACCAACAGAUCCCUAUUGAGGAAGAAUGUUAUGGUAAGAUUCCAAAGCAACUUGCAAGUUUAGGGCUCUGGUGCAGCCAGUGACACUCAGUGGAUCGGCGGUCCAUGAAAACGGUGGUUCGGAUGUUAGGAGGAGGAGAAAACUUGAUGAUGCAAGCAACCCUAAAAGCCUCAUACAGUUAGAAGCAAUUGCUGAAUUAGAGUAACAUACGUAUAUGUAUACGCACCAACACAAGUCGUUCUUAGAUGAAUCCAAGCCAAACAAUUACAGACAAUAGUUAUUCACUAAAUCACUUUAAGGCAAGAAUUUAAUUAAUAAUACAUUACUGCACUUUCUUAACCAUUUGACUAUCACCUAGCUGACAAUGAACACGUUAGCUCCGCGUUAGAACAUCUUGGGUUCAAUUCAUUGUCUUGAAUAUCACCCACUGUCACAGGCGUCUUUUGGGGGCAUAGAGAAGGCCUGAGAGGCAUUUGCAGACAUUCAACAUCUCCUCCAAGCAUUUUGACAACUUUGGACAUCGAAGGGCGAUCACUUGGUUUCAUUUGAAUACACCACAAGGCGGUUAUAACCAUCUUUCUUAUUACUUUCUUUUCCUCCUCUGUAACAUUGUCCAUUUCCAAGUCAUUUCCUACAAUAUACUGAUCGUAUACCCACAUUGGGAAGUAGAUUUGGCUUGAAUGCUCUACCGUUGGAUUCAAAUUCCUCCUUCUGCUUGCCAUUUCCAUCAACAACAUUCCAAAACUAUAGACAUCUGACUUAUAUGAGACGCCUCCAAUAUUUUUGUAGAACAACUCAGGAGCAAUAUAUCCCAGUGUACCCCGUGCUGCUGUCAAAGAGACAAUGCUAUUAUCUACAUGAUACAAUUUUGCAAGCCCAAAGUCAGAAACCUUUGCUUUAAAGUUCUCAUCAAGAAGGAUGUUAUGAGGCUUGAUGUCGAAAUGUAGAAUUUGCAUUUCGCAACCUUGGUGUAGAUAUUCGAUCCCUUGAGCCACUCCAAGAGAAAUCUCGUACAUGUUCUUGAUAGUUAAGGGGACACUUCCUUCUUUGGAAUAAAUGUAUUUAUCAAGAGAACCAUUAGGCAUGAAGUCAUAGACUAGAGCGCGUUUUGAUCCCUCAACAUAGUAUCCAACAAGUUGCACCACAUUGGCAUGGUGAAUCCUUCCGAUUGUAGCUAAUUCGCUAAUGAAAUCUUGGCCAUCAGCUUUGGGCUUGGCCAAAACUUUAACUGCUACAAAUCGACCACUGCGUAGCUUUCCCUUAAAUACAGAGCCAAAGCCACCUUUGCCCAACUUGUCCUUAAACUUGCGAGUCAUUUUCUUGACGUCCGAGUAAGAGUACCUUAUAGGCAUGAAGUUGUUAUUGCAUUGCAGAAAAUCUUCUAUUGUGCUAUACAUUGAUAAAUGUCUUCUGCGCCAUGUGUAGAUUAGAAAUGCAGUCACAAUUGGAACUCCAAAAACAAAUCUGGCUAGGAAAAAUAACCCUACAUGCAUUGACAUUAAUAUGUUAGAUCCACUGCGUACUACUUUUUCUUCCCUUUCUUUCCAAAUUACUUUGUCUUUGAUGUAAUUAAAGAGAGAAUGGGAAAUGUACAUAUGUUGAUAAUACAAUCUCGUCUUAGUCCUUACCGAUGCAUAUGAGUAUAAACCAUACACGUACUGCAACAAAAUCAAUCGACUAUGAGUUUGAAAAGUGCAUAAAGUGAAAAAAAAAUAAAAAAAAUCAAAGGGUGCCUUUAUUGACAUCCAAAUUUUAGUUAGUUUUACUCAACUAAAAAAUUUUUGUCAUCAAACUUUUUAAUUUGCCGUCGAAAUUGAGUUCACCCAACCCACAAAGCAGCAACUACCACUCACCAAAAAAACCAACAACACACAGCCACCAGUACCAUUCACCAAUAGAAAGAGAAGGAACACACAGACCCACCAAGGAGCCGGCAUCGACGCGUCUACGAGGGAGGGACCGGAGGGUGGUGUAGUUUUGUUGGGCGCGCGGUAGUGGUUUUGUCUGUUCAUUUUCUCUUUGUUUUGGUAGGUGGAGGCUGGUGUGGAUUUGGGCGAACUUAAAAAUGAGGGGAAACUAUGAAGUUUGACAAAAUGUUUUAGUUAGGUGAACUUCACUAAAAUUUGGGUGCCGAUAAAGAUACCCAAAAUCAAAAGACUAGAUGGACUAAUUAAAUGAAGCUCUUACCCAUAUAUAACGAUGGACGCAACUUGCCAGCUGCUGCAGUACAUACCACGGAAAAGUGAGCAAAGACAUACAGUUACUAGGUUUAAGAAGUACAGAUAGAGCACACAAAAAAUAAAAGAAGCUUUUGGGAAGAAACUUCUUACGCAAAUAGAUUUUUUUCAUGACCUACAGUAAAAAAAUGUCAAGAAGAAUACACAACAUUAGCAAUAGCUCACCCAGUCUUCAAAAUUUAAAAAAUCAAGUUUGUCGAUCGAAAACUUGUAAAUAAAACAAAAAGAGGACCCCUUACCGAUUUGUUGCCAUAGAUAUUGAAAGAAACCUACAAGAACAAAGAAAGAACAAGACCACAUGCAUUAGAAUAACAAGUGUGAGGUGUAUAAGCCGUUAGAAAAUAAAUUUAAAAUUCUAGUGCUGUCAAUACAUUGAUAAUAUAUAUAUAUAUAUAUAUAUAUAUAUAUAUAUGUAUGUAUGUAUUAUUUUUUCUGAAAAUUUAACUUUUCCCGUCCAAACUCAUUUUUCUAGUCUCUAGCCCAACAUAUAAUAUUUAUCUGAAUAAAACCAAAUGAUUAGGAUCCAACUAAGAAACUUACCAAAUUAAGUUUGUGUGUCCAUUUUUAUAUUUUUUGGAUCCCUAAUAUACCCCAUCUAAGCCAGUAUGGAAAGGUCUUGUAAUUUUGCUUUAAGUGAUUACGUGCAUUGAAUUUGGCAAGGUCUUAUAGCCAUGAAAUAUGGUUCUAGAUGGAGGAAUUAAUUUGGAAUUUUUUUUAAUUUCGACAACAAAUUUCAAUUUGAAUAUACCUAAUUUAGUGUUUAUUUUCAACAAUAAAUGUGCCUACUUUUUAAAUUUGUAACAAAAUUAAUUUACCUACUUUUUAUGGUAUUAGUGACACACCCUGUCCCGAAGGAGGGCAUGCUGGCCGUCACGAGAGAGUGACGUAACCAUUUGCACAGUACGGAAGCUUUAAGAUACAAUUUAUAAGUUGAUACACCCGAAGGUGAGUCCUAAUUUUUGUCCAAUCUGUCAGAACACCGUCAAAUUCCUCGUAGUCACCACACCUUUGUGAUUCCUGAACCUGGAGGGGCGCAAAACCAAAAUUGAGUGGGUCAGUAAAACAAUUCUUUUCCAAAUCCAAACAUUUCUCAAAACGUUGUAACCCUCUCCGUAAAACUUGUAUACUUUCCCAGAAAUGUAAAAUAUAAAUAUACAUAUAUAUUCUCAAACUUCAUUUUUACUAUCUCAACAUUUUUCUUUAUCAAACAUGCCAUGCCAUGUCUAAUUCAACAGUUAAGUAUGGAUGCAUCAACAAUAAUCAUAUCAGGUGCAAGAAAGUAAUCAACCGGAGGCCCUCUAAUAGCCCUGUACGGUUGAACCUAGAGCUCAAAAUCUAUCACUCUCACUCUGCCGGGAGUCACCUCUGUGACCUGUCCGGCCUUCUGCACACAAGUUACGCUCUAGUGCUUUCUCAUCAAUCAUCUGUGCACAUAAUCUAAGGUCACCCACCAGUCGAAAUCUCACUAACACUCUUCGACUGGCCCGUCGCACCCACUCCGCGUGGACUGUGCGACCAGCAUCUACUUGGAUCCAAGGCGAGCGUGCGAUGCGGUGAAUACUAUAAGCACUAAACCAUGGUGCAGGAUUUGAGCUCAAUAUAUAUCAACAUCAUCAUAACAGUACUUAAAUACUCACCUGAUACUCACCUGUGCGUCCGCCGCACCAAUUCAUACAUAUGCAUCAUAUUUCAAUUCAUAUCAUUUCAUGCAUGGCAAUUCGAUUCACAUUUCUAUAUACAUUUCAUAUACUUCUAUGCAUGACCUUUCAAUUCACGUUUUCAUAUAAUUCUAUAUACCUUUCAUUUAAAACAUAAUUUCAUUCUAAUUCAAUUUCUGGGAAAACGUCAAGUAUAUAUAUACGGAAAACAAAACUGCCCACUCACCUGGAGUUCGUCCAACAACUCCCUAGCACCACACAUCAAGGCGUCAUGACGAUCGCCGUCUAGAACAGUAAUCAAAUCCAGCCUCAGAAUUCAUAUCGAUAGAACAUAUAACUUAUAUAAAAUAUGUCACUACGUAGAUCGAUCCGGAAGAUCUGCCACUCAGAUUUUAAAUCCAUAACUUCCAGAGGUCCACAAUAUAUCUCUAGGAUAACAUCCUAAAAUUUCAUUACCAUCCAACGGUCGGAUCUCCGUCAAUUUCCAAAACUAAGUGACGGUUAACAUUUUAUUUUAUGAACUUACAAUUCUAAUUCCGGAAGAUCCGUAACUCGGAUUCCCAAUCCGUAAGUUCCAAUAAUCCUCAAAUAUUACGUAUUACAACGUAUCAAAGUUUGGUAACGAUCCAACGGUCGGAUCAUCAAUUCACAUUUUCACCUAAUGCGAAAACUAUAAAACGUUAUUCGAACACCUAACCAACAAUCCUUAAUAACUUUCUCAUACGGUGUUCAAUUUGGGUAUAUGAAUAUACCACAGUGAUCUACUCAUUAAAAUAAUUUUUUACUGUAGCACGCGCCCCCACGCGCCAAGGAAGGCACGGACCUACGCGCCCCCACGCGCACCUUCUUCUUCCUUGGGUCGCCGGACUGGUUUUUCCGGCGGCCGUUUUUCAAAUUGCCAUAACUUUGUCAUUUCUCAACGAAAUCAAGUGAUUCAAAAACGAAAGUUGUAGCCCUUGAAGAGACAAAGAGAAUGGUACCUUGCACAACACCUAGUUCGCCGUGGUUUGGCCGGAAACUGCUUCGAAAGCCUCGGAGGUCGCCAGAAACUGGGUAUUUUUCAAAUCAGUAUAACUUCUUCAAUACUCAACGAAAUUGAGUGAAACAAAAAGGAAAGUUGUAGUACUUGACGAGACGAAGAGAUUGAUACCUACCUCGACUCCUAACUCACCGGAUAUUCGCCGGAAAAUGCCUCGAAAGCUCCGGCCAAACUUUGAACUUGUCGAUCUCCGUGUUCUUACAUCCAAAAACUUCCAACGAAGCACUCCGAGCUUCCUUGGGACCUCACUAAGCUCGCUAUGAUCUUGUUUUAGCCUAAAACGUAGUCAUUUAGAAGAUCAUGAACAAUACCAUUUCACGGGAACUUUGAAACUAGGGUUUUCCGAAGCAAAACUUACCUGAAAUGGAUACCAUCGUGAUCGUGGAGGUUCCAGGAGUUUGAUGGUGGUCUUAACUCUGUCGUUGGUGGAAGUUUAAGGUUGUUUUGUGGUUGGUUUGUUCGAACGGAGAAGAAGAGUGACAGAGAGAGUGAGAGAGUCGUGAGGGAAGAGAGAGAGAGACAGCAUGCAGAAAAUAGGGAGAGGAUUGAGGGGUGUGGGGAUCCCACGUGGUCCUUUUCCAAUCCCCAACUCCAAACCAUAAAAUUUUAACCUAAAAAUCUAAGUUCAAUCCUUAAUAAAUUCCAUUUUAUUUUCAAAACUUAGGAACCUAGAUAAUUAUCAACUUGAGCUUCACAUACUUAGUAUUUCUUAAGGGCAAUUUCGUUCAUUCACAGCCACGAAUGUAAUAUUUUGGAACGGGCUGUGACAAUUAGUAUACAUAAAUGUAGAAUAUAUGUCCGUAUAUAUUUGAUCCAAUUAGUAUUAGGGAGAAUGACAAGUCAUCCAAGUCUGCUACUGUUAAUAAUUCUGUUACUGUAAAUUAACUGAUUGUAUUAGUUGUGAUUAGUUAAGAUAGUUAUAAAGUAGUUAGGGGUAUCUAUGUAAAUAGCCAAAGGCUAUAUAUAUUCCUACACAAUGUGUAAAGUUCUCAGUCAAGUAAAUACAAUCAAGAAAACUUACUGUUGAAGUUUUCUGUUUCUACAUGGUAUCACGCCAUUCCGCUUCACAGCUUCGAUCUUUCUCUUCGCUUGCUGCAUCGAUCGACUCUUGAUCGAUUUUUCUUCUCUGAUCUUCUCUUCGCUUGCUGCAUCGAUCGACUCAUGAUCGAUUUUUCUUCUCUGAUCGUCACUUCUUCCCUUCCGAUCUUGUAGUAUUUUCUUGAUUUCUGUCAGUAAUGGCGGCUCAAUCGACUGGUUCAUCUUCUCCGGUCAUCUCCCCCUCGAGCCCAAACCCUAAUUUUCUCUGGAAACCCUAAUUCCUCUGGAAAUCCGAGUCCUCUGACUUCCUACACUUCUCUCUCACAAUUCAUAACAUCGGCAGCAUGGUGCCGAUCAAGCUCAAAAGAUCCAAUUACCUACCAUGGCGCGCCCUGUUUGGCCCGAUUUUCCGGCGAUACAAGCUUCUUGGAGUAAUCGAUGGUACUGACGUCUGUCCAUCGCCAUUUCUGCCUGAUCGUAGCAUCAAUCCUGCUUUUGAGGACUGGUAUGAGAAAGAUCAAAAUCUUUUUGAUCUGGUUGAAUUCCACACUUUCUGAGGAAAUCAUCCCGUUCACGGUUGGGGUUUCAUCCUCUCGAGAACUUUGGGUAAAGCUUGAACAGCGCUUUGGUGGAAUUUCAGAGGCUCAUAUCCAUCAGUUGCGAUCGCGCCUUCAAUCUGUUCAGAAAGGAUCGCGUUCUAUCUCUGACUAUCUUCAAGAACUCAAGGAAAUUUCAGAUUCUCUGCAAGCUGCUGGUGCUUCUGUCUCUGAUCGAGAUCUUAUCGCCGCCACACUACAUGGCUUGCCUGAUGAAUUUGAGUCUUUCAUCGACUGUAUCAUGCUCCGAUUGUCCUCUACCUCUCUGAUGAACUUCAUGGCCUCCUUCUCACAAAGGAAUUGUCUAUGGCCAGACGCAAAACUGUCAGUUCAUCUCCUGUCCCUGAAUCUUUUCAGGCUUUCUCGGUGCAGUCUCAGCCUCAUCUCCUUCCUACUCCAUCUGCUUUUGCUGCUCAGAAUCUCCCUCUUCAAUCUGCAUCUCGGUUCAACUCUAAUCGUGGCAGGAACACUAAGGGCCAGUUCUUUUCCAAUCGAGGUCAUCGAGGUAAUCGUGGUAAUUUUCCUAAUAAACCGUGGCAAUCGAGGUUAUCAAGGAUUUCGCAGCAAUCAAGGCUCUUCUCACUUCAAAGUGCUUUGUCAAAUCUGUGGUUCUACCAGUCAUGAGGCUAUUGACUGCUUUGAUCGUAUGAAUCCUGACAUCUUGUGGUCGUAUUCCUCCAGCUAAGCUUGCUGCCAUGUGUGCCACAACAUUCUGCUAAACCAUCUCAGCCUUGGUUAAUUGAUUCAGGGGCAACCUCUCAUAUCACUAAUGAUGUUGCUAACCUCACCUCUCCUACUCCCUACACUGGCGAGGAUUAAAGUGUAUAUUGGAGAUGGUAAAGGUUUAUCCAUCCUCAAUGUUGGUUCAUCUACUCUGCACACCUCUCAUAAUUCUUUUCAAUUGCGAAAUGUUUUACAUGUUCCCCACAUAACCCAUAAUCUUAUCUGCUUAUCAGUUUUGUUAAUGAUAAUAAUUGUUCAUUGACACUUGACCCUUAUGGAUCCUAUGUCAAGGAUCGUAUUUCGGGGAAGAUGCUUUUACGGGGACCGGUUAGAGAUGGCUUCUAUCCUCUUCAAAGUUCCAGCAAUCUUCAUCCUCUUUCACAUACCGCUUUACUUAGUAUUAAAGCUCCAGUUACAAUUUGGCACAAGCGUUUGGGUCACCCUUCCUCCUCCAUUUUUAGAAGGCUCCUUUCAUCCAAUAAUCUUGCUUUACAAGGCAAGUCUACUGUGGACUUUUUCUGUUCGGAUUGUGCUCUUGCCAAGAAUCAUAAGCUUCCAUUUAAAGCUGCUACUUCAUCAUCAACUCACAGCCUUCAACUACUGCACUGUGAUCUGUGGGGACCUGCCUCAAUCACAUCAAGUAGUGGUUUUCAAUAUUAUUUGCUCAUUGUUGAUGACUAUAGCAAAUAUAGUUGGUUCUUUCCUUUGAAAUCUAAGUCAGAUGUAUUUUCUACAUUUGUUGUCUUCAAAUCAUAUGUAGAAAAUUCACUUGGAAAUAAAAUAAAGGUUCUGCGUUCAGAUUCAGGGGGUGAAUUUACUAGUCACUCUUUUGCAUCAUAUCUCAGCAAACAUGGCAUUCUUCAUCAGUUCAGUUGUCCCCACACCCCUGAGCAAAAUGGUUGUGCAGAAAGAAAGCACAGGCACCUUGUUGAAAACAGCUCGCACUUUGCUUCUUGCAUUCUCAUGUCCCUCAUAUUUUCUGGGUUGAAGCAUUCUCCACUGCUAUCUAUCUUAUUAAUCGCCUUCCUAUUUCUGGCAUUUCACAGUCCCCUUGGCAGUUGCUAUUUCACAACCAUCCAGACUACUCUAAGCUCAAAGUAUUUGGUUGCCAAUGCUUUCCUUGGCUCAAACCUUACUUUCAUAGCAAAUUGGAUCCCAAGAGCAAAAAGUGUGUUUUCUUGGGGUAUAGUCUUCAACACAAAGGCUAUAGGUGCCUUGAUCCUAUCACCAAUCGCAUCUACAUCUCUCGUCAUGUCUGUAUUCGAUGAAAGUACUUAUCCAUUUCAGUUGUCCCACAUUCAACACUCUUUUCCUGUUCCAAGUCCUCCAUCUUCCUCACCAACAAUUUCUUCCUCUCUGGAUCUUCAUUUUUUAGCAAACACAUUCCUCCUGUUUUCAGUCAGCCAUCUACAUCACCAUUAUGUGCUUCUGUGCCUGUUCCUAUUUCUUCAUCUUCAUCUUCCCCUGCACCUGUCUCAGUUGGCUCUUCUUUCCAGUUUUGUUCCUCCUUCAGCACAUUCAUCUUUCUCCCAAAAUCAACAGAGUCAUCCUCCUGCCCCUGUUAAUUCUCAUCCAAUGAUUACUAGAUCCAAGGCUGGUAUACUCACGUCGAGAGCCUGUGCAGCAACUAAGCACCCACUUCCGGUUGAUAUGGAUUAUGUUCCUACAACAUACUUGCAAGCUUCUAAGCAUGCUCAUUGGAGGCAAGCUAUGCAAGAUGAAUUUAAUGCCUUGCUAACCACUGGUUACUUUGGUCUCUUGUUCCUUCUCACCAUUCUCAAAACUUAGUGGGCUGCAAGUGGGUUUUCCGGAUUAAGAAGAAGCCCGAUGGCACUGUUGACAGAUAUAAAGCCCGGCUUGUGGCCAAGGGUUUUCAUCAACAAGAAGGUAUUGACUUUUCAAGAAAACCUUCAGUCCAGUUGCCAAACCGGUUACAAUUCGGAUCCUUCUUACCCUUUGCUGUGCAAUAUAAUUGGUUUCUCAAUCAAUUGGACAUUAGUAAUGCCUUUCUUCAUGGAGACUUAAAGAGAGGAUGUCUACAUGCAACAACCCCCUGGUUUUGUUGAUCCCUUUACCCUACAUUUUGUAAGUUGAGGAAAUCGUUGUAUGGUCUCAAACAAGCUCCUCGAGCUUGGUUUGAUAAACUGUUCCAAGCUCUUCCUCUCUUGGAUUCACCCAAUCAUCCUCAGAUGCUUCUUUAUUUGUUCUCAAUGGUCCUCAGUUUAGUCAUUGUCCUUGUCUAUGUUGAUGACAUUCUUGUCACCGGACCCUAUCCUUACCUCUGUCAACACUUCAUUCAGCAACUUGGGGCUCAAUUUCCAGUAAAAGACCUUGGUCCUCUUCAUUAUUUCUUGGGAUUAGAAGUACAUCGAUCUUCCCAGGGUAUAUUUCUCCAUCAAACAAAGUACUUAUUGGAUCUUCUCAAGAAAACAAAUAUGGAGGGUGCAAAACCUUGUUGUACUCCCCUUGGCUCUAAGAAAUUAGAUCACAGUGGCCCUCUUCUGUCCAAUCCUACUGAAUAUCGCUCCAUUGUUGGUGGUUUACAAUAUCUUACUUGGACUAGACCCGACCUUGCUUUUGCUGUGAACCAAAUCUGCCAAUUCAUGCAUGCUCCCAGGGAACAACAUCUCCAGGCAGCAAAAAGGGUUCUCAGAUUUCUCAAAGGCUCUAUCUCACAUGGUGUGUGGUUCACUAAAGGCCCUGUCCAUCUUUCUGCCUACUCGGAUGCCGACUGGGCUGGUUGCACAAUUGACAGGAGAUCAACCACUGGUUAUUGUGUAUUUUUGGGUUCCAAUCUUAUCAGCUGGAGUGCCAAGAAGCAAAGUACUGUUGCCAAGGUCCUCUACAGAGGCUGAAUAUCGCUCCUUAGCUCACACAGCUGCUGAGAUAACUUGGGUUUGCAGAUUCUCAAAGAUCUGCACUAUCCUCUCUCUUACAUUCCCUACUUUUGGUGUGACAACAUAUCAGCAAUAUCUUUAGCAUCUAAUCCUGUCUUUCAUGCUCGAACAAAGCAUGUUGAGAUCGAUUAUCNGAAGUUUUCUGUUUUCUACAUGGUAUCACGCCAUUCCGCUUCACAGCUUCGAUCUUUCUCUUCGCUUGCUGCAUCGAUCGACUCUUGAUCGAUUUUUCUUCUCUGAUCUUCUCUUCGCUUGCUGCAUCGAUCGACUCAUGAUCGAUUUUUCUUCUCUGAUCGUCACUUCUUCCCUUCCGAUCUUGUAGUAUUUCUUGAUUUCUGUCAGUAAUGGCGGCUCAAUCGACUGGUUCAUCUUCUCCGGUCAUCUCCCCCUCGAGCCCAAACCCUAAUUUCUCUGGAAACCCUAAUUCCUCUGGAAAUCCGAGUCCUCUGGACUUCCUACACUUCUCUCACAAUUCAUAACAUCGGCAGCAUGGUGCCGAUCAAGCUCAAAAGAUCCAAUUACCUACCAUGGCGCGGCCCUGUUUGGCCCGAUUUUCCGGCGAUACAAGCUUCUUGGAGUAAUCGAUGGUACUGACGUCUGUCCAUCGCCAUUUCUGCCUGAUCGUAGCAUCAAUCCUGCUUUUGAGGACUGGUAUGAGAAAGAUCAAAAUCUUUUGAUCUGGUUGAAUUCCACACUUUCUGAGGAAAUCAUCCCGUUCACGGUUGGGGUUUCAUCCUCUCGAGAACUUUGGGUAAAGCUUGAACACAGCGCUUUGGUGGAAUUUCAGAGGCUCAUAUCCAUCAGUUGCGAUCGCGCCUUCAAUCUGUUCAGAAAGGAUCGCGUUCUAUCUCUGACUAUCUUCAAGAACUCAAGGAAAUUUCAGAUUCUCUGCAAGCUGCUGGUGCUUCUGUCUCUGAUCGAGAUCUUAUCGCCGCCACACUACAUGGCUUGCCUGAUGAAUUUGAGUCUUUCAUCGACUGUAUCAUGCUCCGAUUGUCCUCUACCUCUCUUGAUGAACUUCAUGGCCUCCUUCUCACAAAGGAAUUGUCUAUGGCCAGACGCAAAAACUGUCAGUUCAUCUUCCUGUCCCUGAAUCUUUUCAGGCUUUCUCGGUGCAGUCUCAGCCUCAUCUCCUUCCUACUCCAUCUGCUUUUGCUGCUCAGAAUCUCCCUCUUCAAUCUGCAUCUCGGUUCAACUCUAAUCGUGGCAGGAACACUAAGGGCCAGUUCUUUUCCAAUCGAGGUCAUCGAGGUAAUCGUGGUAAUUUUCCUAAUAACCGUGGCAAUCGAGGUUAUCAAGGAUUUCGCAGCAAUCAAGGCUCUUCUCACUUCAAAGUGCUUUGUCAAAUCUGUGGUUCUACCAGUCAUGAGGCUAUUGACUGCUUUGAUCGUAUGAAUCCUGACAUCUGUGGUCGUAUUCCUCCAGCUAAGCUUGCUGCCAUGUGUGCACAACAUUCUGCUAAACCAUCUCAGCCUUGGUUAAUUGAUUCAGGGGCAACCUCUCAUAUCACUAAUGAUGUUGCUAACCUCACCUCUCCUACUCCCUACACUGGCGAGGAUAAAGUGUAUAUUGGAGAUGGUAAAGGUUUAUCCAUCCUCAAUGUUGGUUCAUCUACUCUGCACACCUCUCAUAAUUCUUUUCAAUUGCGAAAUGUUUUACAUGUUCCCCACAUAACCCAUAAUCUCUUAUCUGCUUAUCAGUUUGUUAAUGAUAAUAAUUGUUCAUUGACACUUGACCCUUAUGGAUCCUAUGUCAAGGAUCGUAUUUCGGGGAAGAUGCUUUUACGGGGACCGGUUAGAGAUGGCUUCUAUCCUCUUCAAAGUUCCAGCAAUCUUCAUCCUCUUUCACAUACCGCUUUACUUAGUAUUAAAGCUCCAGUUACAAUUUGGCACAAGCGUUUGGGUCACCCUUCCUCCUCCAUUUUUAGAAGGCUCCUUUCAUCCAAUAAUCUUGCUUUACAAGGCAAGUCUACUGUGGACUUUUUCUGUUCGGAUUGUGCUCUUGCCAAGAAUCAUAAGCUUCCAUUUAAAGCUGCUACUUCAUCAUCAACUCACAGCCUUCAACUACUGCACUGUGAUCUGUGGGGACCUGCCUCAAUCACAUCAAGUAGUGGUUUUCAAUAUUUAUUUGCUCAUUGUUGAUGACUAUAGCAAAUAUAGUUGGUUCUUUCCUUUGAAAUCUAAGUCAGAUGUAUUUUCUACAUUUGUUGUCUUCAAAUCAUAUGUAGAAAAUUCACUUGGAAAUAAAAUAAAGGUUCUGCGUUCAGAUUCAGGGGGUGAAUUUACUAGUCACUCUUUUGCAUCAUAUCUCAGCAAACAUGGCAUUCUUCAUCAGUUCAGUUGUCCCCACACCCCUGAGCAAAAUGGUUGUGCAGAAAGAAAGCACAGGCACCUUGUUGAAACAGCUCGCACUUUGCUUCUUGCAUCUCAUGUCCCUCAUAUUUUCUGGGUUGAAGCAUUCUCCACUGCUAUCUAUCUUAUUAAUCGCCUUCCUAUUUCUGGCAUUUCACAGUCCCCUUGGCAGUUGCUAUUUCACAACCAUCCAGACUACUCUAAGCUCAAAGUAUUUGGUUGCCAAUGCUUUCCUUGGCUCAAACCUUACUUUCAUAGCAAAUUGGAUCCCAAGAGCAAAAAGUGUGUUUUCUUGGGGUAUAGUCUUCAACACAAAGGCUAUAGGUGCCUUGAUCCUAUCACCAAUCGCAUCUACAUCUCUCGUCAUGUUGUAUUCGAUGAAAGUACUUAUCCAUUUCAGUUGUCCCACAUUCAACACUCUUUUCCUGUUCCAAGUCCUCCAUCUUCCUCACCAACAAUUUCUUCCUCUCUGGAUCUUCAUUUUAGCAAACACAUUCCUCCUGUUUUCAGUCAGCCAUCUACAUCACCAUUAUGUGCUUCUGUGCCUGUUCCUAUUUCUUCAUCUUCAUCUUCCCCUGCACCUGUCUCAGUUGGCUCUUCUUCCAGUUUUGUUCCUCCUUCAGCACAUUCAUCUUUCUCCCAAAAUCAACAGAGUCAUCCUCCUGCCCCUGUUAAUUCUCAUCCAAUGAUUACUAGAUCCAAGGCUGGUAUACUCACGUCGAGAGCCUGUGCAGCAACUAAGCACCCACUUCCGGUUGAUAUGGAUUAUGUUCCUACAACAUACUUUGCAAGCUUCUAAAGCAUGCUCAUUGGAGGCAAGCUAUGCAAGAUGAAUUUAAUGCCUUGCUAACCACUGGUUACUUGGUCUCUUGUUCCUUCUCACCAUUCUCAAAACUUAGUGGGCUGCAAGUGGGUUUUCCGGAUUAAGAAGAAGCCCGAUGGCACUGUUGACAGAUAUAAAGCCCGGCUUGUGGCCAAGGGUUUUCAUCAACAAGAAGGUAUUGACUUUCAAGAAAACCUUCAGUCCAGUUGCCAAACCGGUUACAAUUCGGAUCCUUCUUACCCUUGCUGUGCAAUAUAAUUGGUUUCUCAAUCAAUUGGACAUUAGUAAUGCCUUUCUUCAUGGAGACUUAAAGGAGGAUGUCUACAUGCAACAACCCCCUGGUUUUGUUGAUCCCUUACACCCUACAUCUGUUUGUAAGUUGAGGAAAUCGUUGUAUGGUCUCAAACAAGCUCCUCGAGCUUGGUUUGAUAAACUGUUCCAAGCUCUUCACUCUCUUGGAUUCACCCAAUCAUCCUCAGAUGCUUCUUUAUUUGUUCUCAAUGGUCCUCAGUUUAGUCAUUGUCCUUGUCUAUGUUGAUGACAUUCUUGUCACCGGACCCUAUCCUUACCUCUGUCAACACUUCAUUCAGCAACUUGGGGCUCAAUUUCCAGUAAAAGACCUUGGUCCUCUUCAUUAUUUCUUGGGAUUAGAAGUACAUCGAUCUUCCCAGGGUAUAUUUCUCCAUCAAACAAAGUACUUAUUGGAUCUUCUCAAGAAAACAAAUAUGGAGGGUGCAAAACCUUGUUGUACUCCCCUUGGCUCUAAGAAAUUAGAUCACAGUGGCCCUCUUCUGUCCAAUCCUACUGAAUAUCGCUCCAUUGUUGGUGGUUUACAAUAUCUUACUUGGACUAGACCCGACCUUUGCUUUUGCUGUGAACCAAAUCUGCCAAUUCAUGCAUGCUCCCAGGGAACAACAUCUCCAGGCAGCAAAAAGGGUUCUCAGAUUUCUCAAAGGCUCUAUCUCACAUGGUGUGUGGUUCACUAAAGGCCCUGUCCAUCUUUCUGCCUACUCGGAUGCCGACUGGGCUGGUUGCACAAUUGACAGGAGAUCAACCACUGGUUAUUGUGUAUUUUUGGGUUCCAAUCUUAUCAGCUGGAGUGCCAAGAAGCAAAGUACUGUUGCAAGGUCCUCUACAGAGGCUGAAUAUCGCUCCUUAGCUCACACAGCUGCUGAGAUAACUUGGGUUUGCAAGAUUCUCAAAGAUCUGCACUAUCCUCUCUCUACAUUCCCUACUCUUUGGUGUGACAACAUAUCAGCAAUAUCUUUAGCAUCUAAUCCUGUCUUUCAUGCUCGAACAAAGCAUGUUGAGAUCGAUUAUCACUAUAUUAGAGAAUUGGUUUUGGCUCAACUUCUCAAAGUCAAGUUCAUCUGCAGUGAAGACCAAUUAGCUGAUCUUCACACCAAGUCUCUGUCUAAAACCAGAUUUAAUUAUCUGUGUUCCAAGCUUCCCAUUGGUCUCAUUUCUGAUCCCCCUUCUCGCUUGAGGGGGUGUAUUAGGGAGAAUGACAAGUCAUCCAAGUCUGCUACUGUUAAUAAUUCUGUUACUGUAAAUUAACUGAUUGUAUUAGUUGUGAUUAGUUAAGAUAGUUAUAAAGUAGUUAGGGGUAUCUAUGUAAAUAGCCAAAGGCUAUAUAUAUUCCUACACAAUGUGUAAAGUUCUCAGUCAAGUAAAUACAAUCAAGAAAACUUACUGUUGAAGUUUUCUGUUUCUACAGGUUUUGGAUUGGAGGAGUUGACACAAAAUUAUAAAUAUAUUAAACAAAUUUAUCUAUUCUAAAGUUGGAGGGAAAUUGGCCUGUACAUUGCUACAGUAAUUUUUUUUUACCCAAUUUCACGUUAUUUACAACAAAGCUAUCAGAUUUGGGUUGGGUUGGAGGGUAAUUUGUUAAAAGUUAGGAGGGUAAUUUUGUGCAUAGGGUUUAGGUGCCCUCCUAUACAUGACCCUUGAUUUUACUUUAUUUACACCACUGCCAUCAAAUAUGUGGCUGAAUUGGAGGGUAUUAUUAAAAGUUAGGAGGGUAGUUUGUUCAAGGGGUGAGGGCGACAUUCGCAGACAGAGAGCGAUGGGAGCCAUGGCCAUUGCACAGAGAGAAAGGGAGUGAUGGGGGAAAUUACAGACAGAAAAGGAAGGGAUGGGGGGGAUUUGAUGGAUGGUCACAGAGAGAGAUUGGGUGAGGGAUGUGAGAGGAGAUUACAGAGAGAUAAAUAAAAGGGAGGGAUCGGGGGAUGUGAGGGAUGGUCAGGGAGAGAAAUAGUGAGGGAGGGAGGGAUGGGGGGGCUGAUUUUCGGUUCCUCCUUCCAGAUUUGUUCCGUAAAAACCUGUUGGGUAGAAUUCAAUUUCCUCCCCCUUUCCCCUGAACGAAAAAUUCGAAACCUACAACUCAAAACUCACUCAUUUGUCGUCCCUCCUUGGCUUUCCGCUUUACUCAUCUCCCGGUGGUUCUCUCUCCAUACGAUUCCAUUUCGGUGAGUUCUUCGUUGCCCUCAUGAUUUCCCACUUUUAUUUUUGGGGCGUCCUUAGUCGUCGUUUUUAUCUGGGUUUACUGCAUUGUUGCUUUUAGUUUCUGGAUUUUUAUUUUUUUGGCACUUGGAUGAAUCGUGGUUAAUAAUUUCACAUCAUGGGAUUUUCGCACUUCUGAUGGAAUUGAGCGCGGGGAUUCGGGGUGGGGUUUUACUGAUAAUUUGUCUUCAUUCAAACGAAGGGUUAAAAUUUAUGAGUAUUAACAAAUUUUGUAAAUUAUUCUUAUACAUUUUAUUGAGGGAUCUAAUCGAUUUCUUUCUGUAGUGGGAUUGAAAUUGGGGCUUUGUGGUACUCUCUCUCGCUCACUCUCUCUCCUAUGUGUAUGAAUUGAGUUCUGCAGUGAGUUUGCAGGUGGGCGCGUUCACUAACUAAGCUUUCAAGGGAACCGAUCAACGGUUUGCUUGCUGGGGGAAUUCGGAGACUACCAGUGUAUGAUUUAGUUAUCAUUAAUUUUUUUACUUAAUUUUAUCCAUAUAUAAUAUGUGGGUAAAUUUAGAGGUCGCACUUGGUGCGAUGGCAAGUUCCUUCGCCCAUGAGCGGUAGGUCUCGGGUUCGAGACUUGGGAGCAGCCUCUCCAUAAAUGGGGGUAAGGCUAGCCGACAUUUACCUCUCCCAGACCCUGCGUAAAGCGGGAGCCUUGUGCACUGGGUACGAUCUUUUAUAAUAUGUGGGUAAAUUUAUACUAAACAAUUGUGAUAAGCCAAUAUGCUAUACGACUUUGAAAGCAUUGAUUUUGUGUUUAGUUUGCAUUUUUGCAUUGUGAAUGUUGAAUUUUGUGUUUAAUUUGGAUUUUUGUGUUUGAAUUUGUAGCAUGAUCUUCCGCUGCAGCAUCCAAAUUUUGCAUUUGUAAAUUGUCAAAGAAAAACGAAGUAUGAGGAAAUUAUAGGAGAUUGUGUCGGCUUUGGCCAUGAAGGGUAUCAGCAGCUUGUUCCCCCAUACAGGUGAUUAAUCGCAGUCUGUUCUAUUUGGAUGAGAAAGUGAUUGAAAAAUAUGAUUUUUUAUUUGUUGGUUGAUUUUGUAUAACUCCGCCGUGUAAGUUUAUCUUACAUUGCCGGUCCCAAGCCCGGAUAAAGGAGGAGGGGGAGGGCGUCAGGUAGUCGACAGCUGGCACUCCAUGAUCACGUCGAAUCCUUAUGAAAAUGAAUCCAGAACGAAAUCGCGCUAAAGCUAGGGCGUCACCCAUAAGUGGCGCGCUGUGUGGCCCGAGCACAGUGAUAAGUGAGCAAGGGUCGUUGUAUCUCCAUCGGCACCCGGAUGCAGUGUUAAAUGAGCAAGGGGCUAUAGAAACUUCUUUUCGAACGACUCCACUCAAAGUUGUUUGGGAGCAUAUGCUCCUAUCAACUUUACACGGGACACACAAAAGAAGUACUUUGAUCCUAUUAGACGGGGAAGGGUGAAGAAGCUAGGACAGAAGGGUAGAGUUCAAGAGAGCAAAAUGCGUUUAGGAACGUGGAAUAUAGGAACCUUGAACGGGAAAAUCUAUGGAAGUAGUAGAAGUUAUGGUGAGGAGAAGGAUAAAUAUUAUGUGCCUACAAGAAACUAAGUGGGUUGGUCGUAAGGCAAAGGAUCUAGAAAACUCAGGGUUUAAACUAUGGUAUUCGGGCACAAAUAGAACGAGAAACGGUGUUGGCAUCAUCGUGGACAAGACCUUGACACAAGAUGUUGUAGAUGUCAAGAGGGUAGGAGAUAGAAUCAUGGCAAUCAAGAUUGUAAUAGGACAAGAACUUAUCAAUGUGAUUAGUGCGUACGCACCUCAAGUAGGGUUGGAUACGAGUUCGAAGGAGAAAUUUUGGGAAGACCUUGGAGACUUGGUGCAAGGAAUUGCUCAGACGGAGAAGUUAUUUAUAGGAGGAGAUUUAAAUGGACACGUGGGCAGGGAGACAGGCAACUAUGGAGGUUUUCAUGGUGGCCAUGGUUUUGGGGAGAGAAACGAGGAUGGGGAAGCUAUCUUGGAUUUUGCAAUGGCAUAUGAUCUCUUCUUAGCCAACACCUUCUUUAAGAAGAGAGAAGAACAUGUGAUCACCUACAAGAGUGGGUCGUCAAAAACACAAAUAGAUUUUCUUCUAAUGAGGAAAGGGGAUCGUAUAACUUGUAAGGAUUGCAAAGUUAUACCAGGAGAGAGCGUGGCUAAUCAACAUCGCUUGUUGGUGAUGGAUGUACAUAUCAAAAGAGUGAGAAAAAAGAACAAGACUUGGAAGUGCCCAAGGACUAGAUGGUGGAAUCUAAAAGAAGAAAAACAAGCCAUUUUCAAAGAGAAAGUAAUCACCCAGUGUGUGUGGGAUAGAGAGGGGGAAGCUAACCAAAUGUGGGAUUCCAUGGCUAGUUGUAUCCGAAAAGUAGCAAAAGAGGUAUUAGGAGAGUCCAAGGGCUUUGCCCCACACCAAAAGGAAUCUUGGUGGUGGAAUGAGGAGGUACAAACAAAGGUGAAGGCUAAGAAGGAAUGUUGUAAAGCCUUAUACAAGGAUAGGACCGAUGAAAAUGGUGAAAGGUAUAGAAAAGCGAAGCAAGAGGCGAAGAAAGCUGUGAGAGAAGCUAAGUUAGCGGCUUAUGACGAUAUGUAUAAGCGACUAGAUACCAAAGAAGGAGAGUUGGAUAUCUAUAAACUAGCUAGAGCAAGGGAAAAGAAGACAAGGGACCUAAACCAAGUGAGGUGCAUCAAGGAUGAGGAUGGAAAGGUUCUUGCUACAGAGAACGCGGUUAAAGACAGAUGGAAAGGUUAUUUUCAUAAUCUUUUCAAUGAAGGACAUGAAAGGAGUGCUUCUUUAGGGGAGUUGAGUAACUCAGAAGAGUGUAGAAACUACUCUUUUUAUCGUAGAAUCCGGAAGGAAGAAGUGGUUGUAGCUUUGAAGAAGAUGAAGCAUAGAAAAGCAGUAGGCCCAGACGAUAUACCAAUCGAAGUGUGGAAAGUUUUGGGAGAGACAGGUAUAACAUGGCUCACUGACCUUUUCAAUAGGAUUUUGAAAACGAAGAAGAUGCCAAAUGAGUGGCGAACGAGCACUUUGGUGCCUAUCUACAAGAAUAAGGGCGAUGUACAAAAUUGCAUGAACUAUAGGGGUAUUAAGCUAAUGAGUCAUACAAUGAAGCUCUGGGAGAGAGUCAUUGAGCAUAGAUUGAGGCAAGAGACACGGGUUUCGGACAACCAAUUCGGGUUCAUGCCAGGGCGCUCAACCAUGGAGGCAAUCUAUCUCUUACGAAGAUUGAUGGAAAGAUAUAGAGAUGGGAAAAAGGAUUUACACAUGGUCUUUAUAGAUUUGGAAAAAGCGUAUGAUAGGGUCCCAAGAGACAUUCUUUGGAGGAUUUUAGAGAAGAAAGGAGUACGAGUAGCAUAUAUCCAAGCUAUACAGGAUAUGUAUGAAGGAGCAAAGACUGCCGUAAGAACUCAUGAAGGACAAACCGAAAGCUUUCCCAUAACUGUAGGAUUACAUCAAGGCUCAUCCUUAAGUCCUUACCUUUUUGCGUUGGUAAUGGAUGAGUUAACAGGACAUAUUCAAGAUGAUAUUCCUUGGUGUAUGCUUUUCGCAGACGAUAUAGUGUUGAUAGAUGAAACUCAGGAAGGGGUAAAUGCAAAGCUUAACCUUUGGAGAGAAGUGUUGGAAUCUAAAGGUCUUCGCCUAAGCCGAUCAAAGACAGAAUAUAUGGAGUGCAAGUUCAGUGCAAAUGGAGGCCAAAACGAGUUAGGGGUGAGGAUCGGAGAUCAAGAAAAUACCAAAGAGCGACCGUUUUCGUUACCUAGGAUCUAUCUUGCAAAAGAACGGAGAAUUAGAUGGAGAUCUCAACCAUAGAAUACAAGCUGGAUGGAUGAAGUGGAAGAGUGCAUCCGGCGUGUUGUGUGACCGCCGUAUGCCACUGAAGCUCAAGGGAAAAUUUUAUAGGACGGCAAUAAGGCCGGCGAUGCUGUAUGGCACAGAAUGUUGGGCGGUGAAGCAUCAACACGUACACAAAAUGGGUGUAGCGGAGAUGAGGAUGCUUCGUUGGAUGUGUGGGCACACGAGAAAGGAUAAGAUUAGGAAUGAGGAUAUCCGGGGUAAAGUAGGAGUAGCCGAAAUUGAAGGAAAGAUGAGAGAAAAUCGGUUACGGUGGUUUGGACAUGUGCAAAGAAGGCCUACUGACGCUCCGAUUAGAAGAUGCGACUAUGGGACAGAGGUUCAGGGCCGAAGGGGUAGAGGAAGACCUAGGAAAACUUUGGAAGAGACCCUAAGAAAAGACUUAGAGUACUUGGAUCUAACGGAGGACAUGACACAGGACAGAACACAAUGGCGUUCUAAGAUUCAUAUAGCCGAUCCCACUCAGUGACUUGGAUUUUCCAAGUCUCCAACCGAGAAGUUUUCCUCACUCGGGAAAUUAAGGGAACACUACCUCAACCUACAUGCUCCACUCACAAAGCUUCAACAUACAAGCUUCAACAAAAGAAAAUUCAAAGAACUUAGCGAAGAAGGCUUUGGUGUAUUUAACACAAUACGUUGAAAUGAAGGAAAGCUUAUUUAUUGAUAUCCCCGAUAAGUUACAAAUAUGUACAUAUACUUGAGUCAAAAUAAACAAACAAGAGGGAGCCUUCACAAAGGUUGCUUAGGAGAAGUCUCAGCAGUCGGUAGAGCCCCAGAAAGAGAAGGCACCGGAGGGGGAUCAUUCGGAGCCUCAGUACUGGACAGAACCCUAGAAGGAGGAGGCAUCAGAGGUUGAUCAUUUGGAGCUUCAUUACGCGGUACAGCCCCAGAAGACGAAGGCAAUAAAUGCCUUUGGAACAAACCCACAAAUCUCUGAUGAUCAAGUAAAACCUGACCAUCAGAUUCCUUCAUCUGGUCAAGCUUCCUCUUCAUGUUUGUAGCAUAGUCAUGUGCGAGCCGGUGCAACUGUUUAUUCUCAUGCUUGAGCCCUCUAAUCUCCUGUUUGAGACUCAUCACUUCAGCCGCCAAUGAUUCAACUUGGCGGGUUCGAGCAAAUAGGCGUUGGGCCAUAUUAGACACAGAACCUGCACACUGAACACUGAGAGCCAGAGAAUCCUUAACAGCCAACUCAUCAGACCGUUUGGAAAGUAGUCUGUUAUCUUUGGGAGUGAGAAGGUUCCUGGCCACUACCGCAGCGGUCAUAUCAUUCUUCAUCACGGAAUCCCCAACGGUAAGAGGACCAGUAGGGGAGACGAAGGAUGGGCGCCAUAUGUUGUCUGGAGAAGGCGGGGCUGCCUCUUCAACAAGGUUCAAGUCAAAACGACGGUCGGAGGGGCCAGACAUUUUCAAAGGUGUUGAAGAGAGAAGAGGUCGGACAAAUCAAGAUCUUAGAAGUGCAAGAAUGGAGCUUCUACUGGUGGAUAUUCAAGUGUGCUUUGGAACUUAAUGUCAGCCCCUAUAAAAAUCUGCACUCGACGAAGCUUCAGAAAUCGAAGAGGCGCCUGCUCAGAAAUCGAAGAGGCGUUUGCUUUCUCAAAAGCUGGGCUGCUCAGAGACCACGAGGGUCGAUCUCAGAAAUCGAAGAGGCGUUUGCUUUCUCAAAAGCUGGGCUGCUCAAAGACCACGAAGGCCGAUCUCAGAAAUCGAAGAGGCUUGCUUUCUCAAAAGCUGGGCUGCUCAGAGACCACGAGGGCCGAUCUCAGAAAUCGAAGAGGCACCUACUUUUCCAGCCUUGUCAGCACCUGUCACACGCACACUCAGCUUUGCGGAAAUUAUGGGCAUUCUGUCGAAGAUUUCUGGCGAAGUAGAAAGCACAUGAAUCGUACUGUUCAAUCACCCACUUCCCACACGCAACAGUAGCUCAUGGGUACCACAGAUAACUUUGCCAAAGUUCUCUGACAAAGUUGAGACACGUGAAGCUUGCAGCUCCCACUACAUCGCUCUGACCAAGAAGGGUAAAAGAAUUAGCAAAGAAACAACACUAACAAAGUUUAGACACAUAAAUUUUGAAGGUCUAGCUACCAUAUUAUUACCCACAAGGGUAAAGGAACAGUACCACUGCUGGAUAAUUGGAAAGUCCCGGUGUGUCAACCUCUGUGCUUCGUGGCAAGGUAGACUAGCAAACAUGCCCAACCUUUACUCACAUUCGAGAAAACACUCCCAACAAGAUUGCUUGCUCCAAAAUCGAAGAGGCACCGCCCUCCGAAUCUCGAGAGCCAGACUCCCAACAUGAUUACUUUCUCAAAAAUCGAAGAGAGGGUAAAGGAACAGUACCACUGCUGGAUAAUUGGAAAGUCCCUGUGUGUCAACCUCUGUGCUUCGUGGCAAGGUAGACUAGCAAACAUGCCCAACCUUUACUCACAUUCGAGAAAACACUCCCAACAAGAUUGCUUGCUCCAAAAUCGAAGAGGCACCGCCCCUCCGAAUCUCGAGAGCCAGACUCCCAACAUGAUUACUUUCUCAAAAAUCGAAGAGAGGGUAAAGGAACAGUACCACUGCUGGAUAAUUGGAAAGUCCCUGUGUGUCAACCUCUGUGCUUCGUGGCAAGGUAGACUAGCAAACAUGCCCAACCUUUACUCACAUUCGAGAAAACACUCCCAACAAGAUUGCUUGCUCCAAAAUCGAAGAGGCACCGCCCUCCGAAUCUCGAGAGCCAGACUCCCAACAUGAUUACUUUCUCAAAAAAUCGAAGAGACACCGCUCUCCGAAUCUCGAGAGCCAGACCCCCAGCAGGAUUGCUUUCUCAAAAAUCGAAGAGGCAUCGUUCUCCGAAUCUCGAGAGCCAGAUCCCCGACAGGAUUGCUUGUUCGAAAACCGAAGAGGCACCACUUUCCCAACUUCAAGAGCUGGAUCUCCUUGGAUAAAGCUUGUCUGUAAUCUUCACACGCAACAUCAGCUUUCCAGAUACCACAGACCACUUUUUCAAAGUGCUCUGACAGAGUUAAAACAUGUGAAGCUGGCAGCUCCCACUACCGUGCUAUGACCAAGCAGGGUAAAGGAAUAGCAUUAUUACUUGAUGUUAGGGAGACUCCUAUAUAUGUCGACCUCCAUCCCCAACGGACAGGCAGACCUGCAAAAAUGCUCAACCCUUCCUCUUAUCUGAGAGGGCACUCCCAACGAAGCCUUUCGAAAUAUUCAGCUUUCUUUCCCCCCGAUAAUACCUCUGUAAACAAGCUAUACUAGAGCAAGAAUAUCUCAUAUCAUCAGGGUUAAAAGCAAGAGUAUCCCAUAUCAUGCUUUUUCCCUGUCUUUUCCUUUGGCCUUGUUCUUACCUGCAAGACAAGGAGAAAGAGAGCAAUCAGUCAGCACUUGGAAUCAAGCUUCCAGCCAGGAACUGACUGCCUGGAACCCCUUACCUGAUUACUUACCUGGCAUUGCUCUCGAGUACUCAUCUUCAACAUCUUAUGCUUCCAGGGAAGAUACCGCAUCUGCCUGAGGAACAGAUAGGGCAAGUGAGAAGGAUACAAGGAAGCAUGUGGAGACAAGCGUAACAGCACACGUGCCGAUACAUCCAUUACUCUGUCAAAAGCAAAAGUAUCCCAUAUCAGCAGGGUCGAACGUACUCUAGAUUUGAUGGACUUGUUUUGACCCUCAAAUUCUUCAGUCGGCCUUAUACUCUGGAGGAAACCAGAAAACCCUCCAGCCCAGUUCAAGAAUAAGCCUGUGGAAAGUUACUUCUUCAAAAGCAAAAGUAUCCCAUAUCAUCUCUUCUCAUUUUUCUUCUCUUUAUCCUUCAUGCUGCCUGCAAGAUAGGGAGAAUGUGAACAAUCAGCCGGAGCUCUGAUUGCUUACCUUGUCUGUCACCUCUUUCAGCAGAUCCCCUAGCUCGGCGACUUGGGGGACUCCUACUACAUGGUUUGUAUCGCGCUUGACCAAGCCUGAAACUACAAGUAAGCUUCAAGUGACAAUUGAUACAUUACCUUGUGCAUCUCCACCAGUUACAGAUACCACCCCUGGAUGGAGGAAGAGUACUUCCAGAGAAGAUGCCACAUCUACCUAUGAGACAGAUAAGGAAAGUCAAGACGAUACCACACUCCGGUACUUAGAAGUUUCGUGGUUACGAGAUCAUUCUCCCACAAUAUUUCCUAAUGUCAUUUGUACUAAAUCAUUCACUUGUACUCACUAAAGGAGAGCUUGAACCUAUGUACUUGUGUAAACCCUUCACAAUUAAUGAGAACUCCUCUAUUCCGUGGACGUAGCCAAUCUGGGUGAACCACGUACAUCUUGUGUUUGCUUUCCUAUCUCUAUCCAUUUAUAUACUUAUCCACACACUAAUGACCGGAGCAAUCUAGCGAAGAUCACAAAAAAGUGACCGUUUUCGCUACCUAGGAUCUAUCUUGCAAGAGAACGGAGAAUUAGAUGGAGAUCUCAACCAUAGAAUACAAGCUGGAUGGAUGAAGUGUAAGAGUGCAUCCGGCGUGUUGUGUGACCGUCGUAGGCCACUGAAGCUCAAGGGAAAAUUUUAUAGGACGGCAAUAAGGCCAGCGAUGUUGUAUGGCACAGAAUGUUGGGCGGUGAAGCAUCAACACGUACACAAAAUGGGUGUAGCGGAGAUGAGGAUGCUUCGUGGGAUGUAUGGGCACACGAGAAAUGAUAAGAUUGGGAAUGAGGAUAUCCGAGGUAAAGUAGGAGUAGCCAAAAUUGAAGGAAAUAUGAGAGAAAAUCGGUUCUGGUGGUUUGGACAUAUGCAAAGAAGGCCUACUGACGCUCCGGUUCGAAAAUGUGACUACUGGACAGAGGUUCAGGACCGAAGGGGUAGAGGAAGACCUAGAAAAACUUUGGAAGAGACCCUAAGAAAAGACUUGAGUACUUGGAUCUAACGGAGGACAUGACACAAAACCGAGCGCAAUGGCGUUCUAGGAUUCAUAUAGCCGACCCCACUUAGUGGGAAAAGGCUUUGUUGUUGUUGUUGUUGGUUGAUUUUGUAUGGACGAUGUAUUAAUUUUUUUUUUUUUUUGGGAUUUUGUGUAUUGGGUAUUGUGUAGAACCAGCAAUGCAGGAUCUGAUCAGUCACGCCCGAAAAGGGGUUUGUUUCUCAAAUCACAUUAAUUAAUUAGAUUAUUAAUGUGCGUUGGAAGGCUCUUCAAUAUGAUUUCUAAUUUCUCCUUUCCAGCAUUCUCUUUUUGGUUUUUGGAGUAUGUAUGUGAUUUGUAUUUGAUUAUAGAAUAAAAAUUAAUAAAACACGAGAUGCAGCAAUUAAUUUGCAUCCUUAUGACAACACAUAUAUGAAAGUGCAUUCAAUUUCAAUGUGCGAAUGUGUGACAGGACAGGAUGUGCCUGCCUGCUGGUGGUGGUAUGCUUGCUGUUGUUUCUUGCGUUGUUAAUUUUUUGUGUGUUGAUUUGAUUAACAAUUCAAGCGUAUCUUAUUUUUUUUGUGUUGGUUAGCAGCCAGUUUUAUGGCCCCGAUCUAGUGAUGCUUCUCAGUGACUGGUAAUUGCAGUUCAUUGCCACCAGUUGGUCAGCUACCUGCUCUGAAAGAGCUCUACGUAGAAGGGAUGAAAGUUGUUAAGAGUGUUGGUGUUGAGUUGUACGGGGGAAAUCAACCAUUUCAAUGUUUAGAGAAGGUAAAGUUUCGGGAGAUGCCAGAGUGGGAGGAAUGGCAGCCUAGUCCAAGUGGAUGUGAAAGUCCAGACUUUCCUCAUCUUAAGGAGCUGAGGUUAUCCGAAUGUCCGAAGCUGAGAGGAAACUUGCCCACUCAUCUUCCCUCCUUGAAAACACUUUAUGUGAACAAGUGUGAGGUUCUACAUAAAAACAGGGCCAGUAAUACCCUGAACGUGGAAUCCUUACGAGGAUCUCUUGAAAAACUGACAAUAAAUGGAUGCCCGGGUCUCUCAUUGUUACUAGAGUCGAUGGAGACGCUGCCGUCGCUUCAGAAGCUUGAUAUUGAUAGUGUUGGUGGGAAAGAGUUGUUGGUGCAAAUGGUGCACAACAGCAAUCGUCUUCAAAGUUUUGACUUUAUAUAAAUGUUCCUCACCCUUGUCGUUCCCUACAAAUGGUCUGCCCACCACGCUGACGUCACCGAGCAUAACAGAUUGCAAGAAAUUAGAAUUCCUAUCACGUGAGAUGAUGGCCAAAUUGACUUCCCUUCAGUCUUUGCGUCUAUCCAACAGCUGUGAAUGCAAAGGCUUGAGUAAUUUUUGUGAGUCUGCUGUUUGGUUUUUUUUUCUUCAUUUUAGAGAUUUUUCUACUGUUUGGUUUUUGGGUUUUGUCUAAUUUUUGUGGUCUGCUUUAUAGAUUGUUCUCUUUGGAAGCUUCUUUCCAGCCUUGACCUUCUUCUUGCCUGGUGCCUUCUCAUUGAGUAUUGGAGGAGCAUUAAAACACAGGUGUGUGUGUUUUGUCGAUGUAAGAGAUGAACGACAUAAAAACAUCCGUCUUUGUAUUUUUUUGUGCUUUUUCUAACCCAUCAAUUUCUUUUGAGUCAACCAAAUAGUCCCAAAUUGCAACUUAUGUUGUGAGGUAUUAUUGUCUAAAAUUAAGUAUGCAUGUAUAUUUUAUGUUUGUGCGCGCGCACACCUCCGCAUGGUGUUAAUCUCUGUGGGUCAUCUAUGUAUAUGUAGACAUAUCUAUAUGUGUAUGUGUGGAAUGCAACAUAUCGGAUUUAGGUUAUACUGUGCAUAGUUUUAUUGCCUGUUAUUAUCUACGAUAUCACUAUGCCAUUUCUAUGCAGGCUCUGAAAGUUAUCCAUGAGCUUUAUAAGCACUUACCAUAAUUUAAGCAGUCUGUUUUGGGUUCUUUUUCAUUAGGUCAUUAGCUACAGAUUAAUGGAGAAACGAGGACCAUGCAACUGAUUUGGGUUCUUUUUCUAAUUUUCUGAUUUUGGGGUUUUGCAGGGAGUACUGAUGUACUGAUUUUCUGGGAUUUUUUUUGUCCUUGCAGGAUUUUUGGUCUUUGGAAUGGGUAUGUGUUGUUUUUAACGUUUCAGUUCUAGCUUGUUCCGUUCUUCGUUGCUUCGUGAUUCUCAUUUUUUAGUGUUGGGUGAUGGAAAUUUGUUCAAGUAGUUGGUAGUUUUUUUAGAAAGUUGGCAUUUUUAGUUAUAUUUUCUGUUUAAUCCUAAAUGUUAGACUGGAAAAUCAUUGAAAUGACGGUUUUUUAAAAACUCAUAAUUUUUUUGUUCUGGGAGUUAAAAGCAUCUUUUCCAGAUUGGUUAUAAGGGUUAUGUUCUCUUCAAUUGGUUCACCUAAUUUUGAUUAGUUUUAAGUUUUGUCCUUUUAAGUUUUGUCUUUUAAGUUUUGUUCUUUAAGUUGUCUUUUAAGUUUGUUCUCUAAGUUUUGUCUUUUAAGUUUUAUCUUCUGUGCUGUAAUGAGAGAUUUCUGUUGGCCUUUCGGAUUUUGGCAUGGGAAAGUUCACUUAUUUGUCUAAUUAGAUUGUGUAUGCCUUCGAUUCUUUAUUUAAUUGUUCUGUUUGUGUUCAGGUGUGAUGAUCUAAAUUUCAUAUGUUUGGAAUUAUUCACUUAACACCAAUUUGUUACAUUCAGAUCUCCACCCCACAUUUCACUAGUUCAAAUUCCAUAGAAGUCGGUUACUGCAGAUUGCGUCUACAAUUAGAUCAGAGAUCAACUGCUCUUUUGUUAUCCUGCAGAAGAUUGCUUUUGGGAAGGAUCUGAAGUAGUUUCUUUCUGUAAGUUUAUUCCCAUGUAGCUCUGUCUUUUCUAAUUGAUGGUGUUGAUAUUACACUGUAAUUCAUGAUGAUGAUUUAAUUGUUUAUUGAUUUGUAAUUGUUUGUGAAUAAUGUGGCAUAUAUGACUUGCAAUAUGUGUUUGUAUGAAAGGGAUGACAUAUUAUGUUGCUGACUUAAUUGUUUAUGUUUUUCAUAUUUGCGAAUGGUGUUAUGAUCAAUUAGGUGAUUGCUGACCUGUGACUUUGUUUGGAGCUCAAAUUUUGUGAGCAUUACAUUGGAUUGUUUUGAUGUUGUUUUGGUUGACAAUGCAGGGAUAGGAGAAACAAAGAGGAUGACACUUAUAACUGCCCUUCCCCAUCGGCCGUCUUCAAAUUUGGAUCACAAGAAGGGAGCAACAUAGGUGUUUUCCUUCUUCAUUUAGAUAUGGUUAGUGUAAAUAAUUGGACAAAAGAGCCAAACAAACCCUGUUCUCUCAAAUGGAGUCGAUGAUGUGGUCGAUGGCCACCAGCCCCAACUCAAGAGUUUGGCCUUCAUAUAAUUGGAUUGUAGUAUAAUUUUAUUUUGGUUCAUUUCUUUUUUCCUUUAUAUAAGUGCAGGUGUUGUGAUGUUUUGAAUAAAGGGUGAUGAAAGGUGGUUCACACACUUCCUCCUUACUUAAAGCAAGUGGAGAUGAUGGGUUGUAUAAAAAGAAAAACUUGCCAGGUACUUCGAUUUUCUAUUUUAUUAAUUAUUGUUUGGUUUUCCAAAUGUUGUAUUCACAAAGAGAGACCAAUGAUGUCUUUGAGAAACAAGUUUCUUUGUCUACAUUGCGAGAAUUUGCAGUUUGCAACUUUCAUUGGUUAUUAUAUUUGAUUGAGUUAAACUUGGAUUUCUGGAUUUUGACUUUUUCGUUUGUUUCUUUGUUGUAGAGUUGGCUUCAUUUCAUUCCAGUAACUCUAUUCCAGUAACUCUCUAAAAUAGGGCCAAGAACUCACUAAAUAGGUAGUCAAGAGGAAUUCAGUUUUGCCUUCAAUUUUUGCCUUCUGUUUACAUUCUUCCUGGAUGCACUCUCACCGCUUCUCUCGCUUACCACUUUUGUCUCACUCACCGCUUCAUCUCUUCUGUUGCUUACAAGGUCGUGUCAUAUAUUUUUUUAAUUUUUGUGUGUUUAAUUUAUUGAAUAUUUGAAAAAAGAGAUAAAAUUUUCAAUUUACAAUUACUGAUAUGAUGUUUGUUUUGAAAAUCAUUAAGGUGAAUGGAGAGAUUUACAACCAUGAAGAGCUGAGGAGCCGUUUGCCAAAUCAGAUUUAUAAGGUCUCAUCAAUUAUAAAUAAACGACUUUUCAUUCCCAAUGACCUUUAUCGUUUUUCUUAAUGGGUUAGCUGAACAUGAGGUAGAUGCUGACUUUAUAAAAUAUGAGAAUGUUUUAGGAUUUCAUUCUAAUUUUUUGGCUGUUUGAUUACUUUGCUUUUCGUAAUUUGUUUUGCUUAUCGUCAAUUGGAUGGGACAACAUAUUUUUGUAACCAGUUUGUACUUUUUUUUUUUGUGGAAACUAACCAGUAUGUACUUUUACCAUCUCGGUUUUGAUGGAAUUGGAGCUUUCAGUAAUGGGUUCUGAGGGAAUUGGAGUUUUGAGUAAUGGGUUUUUUAACAACUAUAGUAUCAUUUGUGAUUCUUUUAUUUAUAAGAUAUUAUAUAGGAAACUGUUAUUAGCACUCUAAUAAUCUUAUUCUACACUCGCGACAAGUGUAUUUUUCUUUCUAAUUAUGGAAAGUUUGGAGUGCAAAAUGAGAAUUUUGGAGUGCCAAUAACAAUUCCCUAUUAUAUAUAGCUCUACUAAGAAGGCGACUGUAUAUGUCUUCAUCCUGUUAAAUUGUAUAUGGCUCUUGAUGUCGGCUGAAUUAAAUCAAAAUGAAAACCAAGCUGCUGAUCUUACCAGCCCAUAUCACUUAUCACUUAUUUAAAUUAUUUGAAGAUGCAUACGUGGAUUGGUGAUUUUGUUGGAUUCACUUAGCUCAAAUAUAUGUUAUCUGAGUCGCUACAUUUGAGAAUGUGAUUCUGUUCCUACCACCAUUUUGCCCACUUUUUGUGGAAAUUAUUCAUUCCUGUUGUGAAUAAUAUCCCCGGCAGCGAAGUGCGGGCGCAUUUUCUAGUUUAAGUUAAAUCACACAAUGGGUCAUCAAUAAUGACAAACUCGUCAUUUAUGCGAGUCAAACAUGAGACCACCUACCUACUAGUUUAGUGGAAUACCACAAGUGACAUGUUGAUACCUUUAAAUCUCAUAUAAUGGAUUGCAGAAUUAGGAUAUACCUAGUCUAAUUUAGUCAGUGCGUGAACCCGAACAAUUAACCAGGGUUUUAUUCUUGCUUGAAUGUUUGUAAUAUGUUCCUAGUUUGACAAGGCAAUUAUAUUUCCGACUACAAAAGUUAUUAAUUUAGUCGAGAAUUGACGCACCUGAAAUGGUGUGAGGAAAACAUGUAGACACAUCAGACGCGGUCCAUCCUGAGCAUUGUGUAUUAAGGAUAAAGCUCAAAGCCAUACAUGAGGGCAUUGUGUAUGUCUUUAUAAGAGAAGUUGCUGUAGUCCUCAACGUGGCCGGCAGCCAAACUCAUCCACUCUACACUGCAACCCUCAUCCAAAUCCCAUGCUUCCAACCUGCCCCCGACAUAGUCAUCGACCAUGACAUAGCUAUACGUUUUUGGUUGACUCGAAGAAGAAGAAGAAGAAGAAGUAUUAUUCAAGCAUGGAGCAGUGUCCACGUACAGAGAAGAAUUCGAUGGAUUCGAACACUUCAAGUAAUAUAUAGAUAGAGAAUUGAUGUCAUAGGUGGGCCAAUAUAGAGAAUCGAUGUCCUCGAUGGGCGGAAUAUUUUGAGACAUGGAAGAGCAAUUGUUGUUGUCAAGCCCAGGAUCUAGAAGUCGGAUUGUUUUGUUAAUGUAGUUGAUUGCCUGGACAUAGUAUUUUCCGGAAGAAGGUAGGUCUAGUACUGUAAUGUUGCUCUCACAGGACAGAGUAAACCUUACGUCGCCACAGUACUUUGGAUCAUCGUUCAGUCGAAAAGGAUGGCUUAUGUUGUGGAUAUGGCCGCAGGAUGAAGUGCAGGACUUGGCACUACUGUUGUCAGCGUUACAAGUUUCACUGCAAAAGCAAAGAAGAAGAAAGGCUAAACUUAAGGUGAAGGACCUGGUUCCACUGAUUUCCAUUGCUCUGAGAGAGAGAGAGAGAGAGAGAGGGCACUAUAGCUUAAACACCAAGGAGUUAUAUAAUAUGGGAGGGGUUAAAGCACCUCGCUUAAAGUUGCAGUAAGCCCGUCAAAUAUCCUAGGGAAAAGUCGGUCAAUGCUGUCCUAUAGAGAAAAGUCGGCCUUGAUGUUUGACACGGUCACACUCUCUCUCUCUCUCUCUCUCUCUCUCAUUGACGAGGGACACUGUAAUUGAAAAAAAAAAUUGUUAUUCAGAGAUAGAUCUUGAAAUUCUUAUUUUAUAUAAAAAAAAGGGGUAUUUAGAUUUUAGGACCUAUAUAAGAUAAUUUUUAGAUUAUAAGGUUUCAAAAUCUUAUUUUAGUCCCUAAUUUAAUAUUCAUCGCCACAUCAUAUUAUAAGAUACCUCUAUUACCUACCAUAUUUACAAACUUUGCCAUUUAAAUUGUCAACCUAUUCUAUAAUUAAGGCUUAAAUAUAUUCCGUUAAUAAACCAUUCGUCAAUAAGAUAAAUCCAACUAUGGUAAAUUAUACUAAUUUAUACUUGCUGACAAACAAAUUAAGUCUAUAGUAAUUUUAGGUCAGUCACCUUAAGAAGUCGAAGAUGAAAAAAUCAAAUACAAAACAAUAGGUUAAAAAAAUUAAAUAAUAACCCUUAAUAUAUAUAUAUAUAUAUAUAUAUAUAUAUAUCACAAAAAAAAAGUAUAACAACUCCUUAUUGUCUAUAUAUAGGAAUUGCAUAAGUGUCGGUACAUAUGUGUAGGUACAUACAUGCACAUAGGUACGGAAGUAUCGGUAUGGAAGUGCCGGUACAUACGUACACAUAGGUACGAAAAUAUUGAUACGUUAGCAUCGGUACAAAAGUAUCGGUGCGGAAGUGUCGAUACUUAUGUACAUAUAUAUAGGUACGCAAAUAUUGAUACAUAAACAUCAAAAGAAAAAAUCGGUAGAUUCGAUGUAUGAGAAGGUAAAAAUAAAUCAUCAACACUAGAAAAAAAUGAUAAAAGUAAAUCAUGCACUAUUAGAUGCAUAAGAAGAAGAAAUAUUAGAUGUGGAUGGUGGCCCUAGCCCUCUCUUCUAACACGGUUGAAGAUAAUUUUUUGGGUUGGACAAAAAGUUUCAUUUUUAAGGAGAACCAUUUAUGUUAGCAAUAAAACUGAAAAGUUAUAAAUAAAAUAAAUAUAAGACAUUAUAAUUCACUCAAGGAUAAUAUAGGAAGAAAAAAAUUACAUAAAAGGAAUUAACUCUGACAUUAAAUAUAAAUGCUGACUUGGACAUAAGUCAAAGGACUAUAAUUAGUUUUUUAUCUUGGUUAAGGUUUUAGUCUAAAGAUAAUCUUUUUCAAGGAUUAAUAUCUAGUUUCCUAUAAAAAAAAACACCUAAUAUUAAUCAUUCAAAUGAAAUUGUUAAAAUUAAGUAUAAAUAAUACAUAAUGAAAACUGAACACAUACAAUCAACGGUCACGACCAUGAAAUCCUCCGGAUCCUCAGAAAAAAAUCCGACGAUGAUCUUUUUCUGUGUAAAAUAAUUUGAGGGUAUAAUACUGGAUGUGCGAUUAAACCGAAGAACCCACCCACCUCCAUCUUCUCUGACCAACUUGAACCCAGCCACUACUACAUGUCAUCCCGACAACCCACUCUCAGCUUCCCAAACCGCCAUUUUUCACCCAAUGGAACAUUUAAAGAAAAAAUCCAUCUGCAAAUCGAAAACCACCGAAAAAAAUUAAAUCAGAUACAUUGGAAAAAACGCAAAACUCAAUGGAACAACACUGGCGUGGAAGAGAAAAAAAGCAGAAGGUGAGAAUGGAGAGAAAGAAGCGAACGGAAAGAAAAAGCAAAGAAGAGGUUGGAAACGGAACAACAGAAGAACAAUAGAAGAACAGAAAUGGGUAUGGGAAACGGAACAACAGAACAAAAAGCAGGCGGUGUAUAGAGCAAGAAAAGCAAACCUCACGAUGACCAACACGUGCUAAGAGAGGCCCCGGUUCACUGUGUAUCACAUUUUUUAAUAUUUUUUUUGGUCUUCCCACCGGCUAUACAUGGGAUUCCAAAAUUAAGAAGGUAUAAAUUUUUAUUGUUUCUUGUGCCACAAACCAUGUGGCCCAGUCUUAAUCACAUUUUUUAAAUAUUUUUUUUGCUCUUCCCAUCAGCAGUACAUGGGUUAAAAAAAUUAGGAAAGUAUAAAUUUUUAUUGUUUGUUGUGUCACAAACCACGUUGCCCGGUUUUAAUCACAUUUUUUUAAUAUUUUUUUGUCUGCCCACCAGCUAGGUUUAAAGAAUUAAAAAAGGACUAAAAGAAAGACUCCACAGAUGGAGGAACAUGGGAAUAGAAAGGGCAAAUUUGGGAUUUUACUGUACAAAAAAGACAAAAAGUAACUGCUGAAGACUAACUUGAGGGGCAUUUUGGUCUGCACACUGCCCUAGAACAGUAACCAUCGGAUUGGGUUUUAGUAUAUAUAGAAUAUGUUUAGAUAAGGACAAUAAACUUAGAAUUUUGCCAAAAGUCAGAAUUUAUAAAUUGAUACAAUCAAUUCAUUUGUUUGGAUUCAUAAACAUAGAAAUUUAGACUUUCCGCGUGAGAAAAAACUUGGAAUUUGGGACCUUCAAUUCUCAUGUUUAAAUUUCAUGUAAAUAGGUGUCAUUUAUAAAUUUCAGUAAGUGAGAGUUUAAAAAUAACAAACAUGUAUUCAAAUUUCAUUCCUCCUUUGGUUAACCAAAAAAGAAAAUUUAUAAAUUCUAGAAAAUAAAAUUUCUUUAUUUUAAUUUCUGUUAUUUUAAAAUUCUUAGGGCUUGUUUGGUAUUCUACUUGAAUCCAACUUUUUAAACUAAAAAAUAAUUUUCAAGUUUUAGGCCUUAAAAACUUAUUUGGUAGAACUAUUUAAAAAAACUGAACUUAAGACUAACUAAAAAAUAUAAUAUAUUAUCUAAAAACACAAAAAAUGAGUUUUUAGAAUUUUUAAACUUAAAUUCACUCAUUUCUUUUCUCUCCCUCCUCCCCUCUCACUCCAAAUCUCUCUCUCUCUCUCUCUUUUCUUCUUUCUCUCUCCCCUUCUCUUUUUUUUAACCUUUUUUUGUCUCUCAUCUAAUCCGCUCUCUUCAUUUUCUCGGUUCUUUCUCUCACUCAUAUUCCUCUCUAUCUCCUCCAAUUCUCUCUCUUCAUUCUUUUUCAACCAAUAAUUUCUUACUUUUUUCCUCUUCUCUCCUCUUGAUUCUCUCUCUUCAUUCUUUUUCAACCAAUCAUUUUUUACUUUUUUUCCUUCUCUCCUCUUUCUCCCUCGACUUCCUCUUUUUGGAUCUCUUUGUUCAGUUUGAGCUGUAAGAUUUAAAAUUAUUUUAAAUCGUAUACCAAACAAGUUUUUGAGUCUUAAAGAAAAUUGUUUUUCAAAAAAUGUUCUUAAGAAAUGUUUUGAGAAAUGAUAAAAAAUUUCAAAUAAGAUACCAAACAAGCCCUUAAUAAUCUUAAAUUUUCCCAUCCAAACAAAAAAUUUUCUUGUCAUAGAACUUUCAAUUGGAAUCAAAGAAGACAAUCUUUUCACAACUAAUUAUUCUCACCAAAAGCAAUUUUUAUUUUAAAGCAAUCAAUACCAAACUGCAAAAGCAAAGUAGGAAGGCUAAAAUUAAGGUGAAGAACCUGCUUCCACUAAUUUCCUUAGGAGGGAGAGAGAGAGGGGGAGAGAGAACCAAGCGAGCGAGCAGAGAGAGAAAACACCAAGUAGUAUUCUAAUGUUGGUGGGGUUAAGUCACCUUCCGUGAAGUUGCAGUAAGGACUUCUAUCCCAGAGAAAAGUCAGUAAAUGAUGUUGACACAGUCAACGACAAAGACAGAAUUGUGUAACCAUAAUUCUCUCUCUAUCUCUUUUUCAUUAUCGGAUGACAGUGUAACACUACUACGUAUAUAUCUCUGCUCAAUUAUUGAAAAGAAAAAUCCAUGUGCAUUAUUUUUAUUAUUAUUAUCUCAGAAAUGCAGAAAUUGAUCAUCUCUUCCUUUUGCAUAUUGAUACUGGUUUUCUUCAAACUAGUUGAAGCAAGUCAAUAUGUGUGCGCGAAAUCCAACUGUAGCAAUGAUCAAAGCGGGGCUAUCCAUUUCCCAUUAAACAUCAGGCGCACACAUCAUUGUGGUAAUUCUGGGCUUGAAUGCAAUGGGAGAUAUGAACAGCAAAUACUAAUAAAAUUAUUUGUCAAAGACAUAGAUUACAAGCGUCAGGAAAUCCAAGUCUAUUCCCCAAGUAACUGCCUGCUGCUAAAGCAUGUUGAAAUCCCAAACAUGCCACCCUCUCCCUUCAACGUGUCAGUCGAUGACUACAUGAGUAACCUUACCUUAUUCAGUUGUCCUACUUCUUUUGCAAGACGAGAUACGGAUGUGUAUCAAGUCCCCUGCCUCGGCGACCGUGGCAAGAGAACUUAUGCCAUUUAUUCUGAUUAUGGUUUUAGAACUCUCUUCCGGAAUCUACAAUCUUGUACAAAAAUGUAUGAUGUUUUAUCAGUUCCAAUACCCUCUGAAUAUUAUGUUCUUCGUUUCAAAUGGUCUAUACCAAAUUGCAGAAAAUGUGGAGAGGGAAAGAGGUGUGAAUGGCAGAACAAUGAAAUUAAAUGUAUUCAAUGGAGGAAACCAAGUAAGGAUAACAUAUGUAUUCAUUGCUAGUUUUAAACAUCUUUACAUUUGUUUCUCAGUAAUUAUUGUUUAAAACAUGUCCAAUCCAUUUUUACUAUGAAUAUUAACUGACAGUCUCAUUUGAAUUUGCCUUUAUCUUUUACAGGCAACACAUGGAAAUUAGUGGUCACAGGGGGAAUCCUGGGUUCUUUGCUUCUUGUUCUACUGAUGAUUGCAGCAUAUCGGGUAUAUAGCGUUGAUAGAAAGAAAAAAGAGAUUCGAUUACGAAUUGAAAGAUUCUUGGAGGAUUACAAAGCACUCAAACCAAGCAGAUACUCGUACGCAGAUAUUAAGAGGAUUACAAAUCAAUUCAAGGACAAGUUGGGCAAAGGAGCCUAUGGAACUGUCUUCAAAGGAAUGCUCUCUUCUGAAUUCUUUAUUGCUGUCAAAGUCCUCAACAGUUCCAAGGGAGAUGGGGAAGAGUUCGUAAAUGAAGUGCGAACGAUGGGUCAUAUCCACCACGUAAACGUGGCUCGCUUGGUUGGAUUUUGUGCUGAUGGAUUUGUACAAGCUCUUGUUUACGAGUUCUUCCCCAUUGGUUCCCUGCAGGAUUUCAUUUCAUCUGCAGAUAGUAAGAAUUCAUUUCUUGGUUGGGAUAAGCUGCAAGAUAUUGCCCUAGGCAUAGCCAAAGGAAUUGAAUAUCUUCACCAGGGAUGCGAUCUACGAAUCCUGCAUUUCGACAUCAAACCCCAUAAUGUUUUGCUAGACCAAAACUUCACUCCAAAAAUUUCUGAUUUUGGUAUGGCCAAGUUAUGUUCCAAGGAUCAAAGCUUGGUGUCCAUGACUACAGCUAGGGGGACCAUGGGCUACAUUGCACCUGAAGUGUUCUCCAGGAAUUUCGGAAAUGUGUCUUACAAGGCAGAUGUCUAUAGCUUUGGAAUGCUGCUGCUUGAGAUGGUAGGAGGAAGGAAGAAUAUUGGUUCAAUCACGGAUAACACUACAAAUGAAAUUUACUAUCCACAGUGGAUUUAUAAUCUUCUAGGGGAAGGGGAUGACCUACGAAUCCACAUUGGGGAAGAAGGAGACGGUAAAAUUUCAAAGAAACUUGCAAUUAUAGGGCUAUGGUGUAUCCAGUGGCACCCGUCGGAUCGUCCUUCCAUGAAAAUAGCGGUUCAGAUGUUAGAAGGAGGAGGAGAAAGCUUGAGUAUGCCGCCUAAUCCCUUUGUGCCUACUGGUUCUACAACUAGGAAUGCAAGACGCCUAGAGCUAGAAGCUAUUGCUGAAUUAGAGUAAAAUGUAUAUGCAGAUAUAUAGACGUAUAGAUAUAGUAAUAUUUACAUUGAAUAAGAUACCGUUUGAUAACCAUUUCGUUUUCAGCUUUUAAUUUUUAUUUUUCACUUUUUUGAAAACUGAAAACUAAAAUCUUGUUUGGUAAAUACUUUUAGUUAAAAAAAAAUGAAGACUGAGAACUAAAAAGUGAAAGCUCAAAGGAAGUAGAUUAAAAGUAGUUACCAAACAAACCGGAAUCUCAAUAAUAAAAAAGAUUGAAUUGCACAAUGCAAUCCAAACCAAUCAAAACAUUAAAAUAGCAAAAAAAUUAAAAUUCUAGUUGAUUAGAUUCUGAACAUAGUAAAAAUGAACAGAUCCGAUGAAAAAACAAAAAAUUCUCAGAUAAAAAUAGGGAUAAAGUAGAAUAUUUAUAAAUAGCUCAUUGUCUCUUAUGUCAUCAAUUAUUUCUAUAGUAUAUACAGGUUUUUGGAAAAAUUAGGUUCCCAUCCCUUAUUUUCAUAUUACAUUGAUUGAAAUCUUAUUAUUUUUCUAUUUUAGAUCAAGGUCCCUUGACUUAUUCCAUGUCAUCAUUUUAGUAUUUAAAAUAUUACACGUCAUCAUAAACGAAAUCUCAUCCCUUUCUGCAUUUAAGGCAAAAUAAACUAUAUAAGUAAGUUUAAAACAAGGAAAAUCCAUUUGAACUCCUCCAUUCUUCUUCUUCCCUUAUGCACAUCUGGAAUCUACAACACCCCAAACCCAAUUUUCUCCAUUUUUCUUCAUUCCUGAAUUGAUCCAAUGCAUAUAUGUUGAAUAAACCUAUUGUGAUUAAAAUACAAAUUAGCAUCAAUGAUUUUAUCGGCUUGUGAGAUUUGUGUGGCAUAGGCAAGGCAAUGCAGGCAUCGCUUUAUCAAAGAAUCUGGUUGAUUCAAACAUGCAGAGACUGUAGAGUGAGCGGGCUAUGUAAAAACUGUACCAUUUUGAAGUCAUUUUCUUUUGUUCUUUACAUUUUUUUUUCUUUUAUUAUUAUAUAUUAGUCUUGAUUAUUCAAUGUCUGGUUGGCUACACUUAUAUCCAUGGGUACAUUUUUAAUCUACAUGUUUCGUUCUAAUAUAUCUAUUGCUAUAAUAUGUUUUGGUUGGUUCAAAUUUGUUUUACAUAAAUAUAUGGGUACAAAGUUUUUGUAGAAUAUUAUGUAAAAUGGUUUUUAAGGUUGCUGCAUUUUACGUACCCACAUAUGCAUGUCUAUAAAACAAUGUGGUAUGAUGUACAUUCUUUUCUUUGAGUUUUUAAAUGUACCCAUGAGUUUUCUUGUAAAUUCGGUAUGUACCCAUAUGCUAUUUAUGUUAUGGGUACAUACAUUAUUUUUGGUCUAAGUUCAUGGGUACAUUACUUUUGUAUGUAUGAAUUCAUGGAGUACAUUAUUUCCCUUAAUACUACUCAAUAAAAUUCACAAAAAUAUGUGUAGCGUGCAUGAUUUUUUAUUGUAGAAAUUGUUUGUUUUUUUUAAGUCUCAUAAUUCAUGAAAUUUGUACAUAUAUGAUCACAUAAAUUUUUUAAUUUUAUUAAAUUUCUUUUAGACUUGAUCGAUUGAUUGAAUCUCAUAAUACUAGGAUUUUGAAUUACAUAAAUUCUUGGAUUUAAAUCCCUUAAAUGUUGAACUGCAAUCAAUAUUUUAAAUUACAGUUUUUUAUUUAAGAUAUCAAAAAGAUGACAUGGAAAUAUAGUAAUACUAAAAUGCUGAGGUGUACAAAGUCAAAGGACUUUGAUAAAAAAAUAAAAAACAAUAAGAUUUCAAUCUAACAAUUGAAUUGACUAGGGAUCGGAACCAAAAUGACCCUAGAUUUUUAUUGAGUUUAAUCUUAAUAAAAAAAAGACUUCUUGUAUCACAAAAAAUACAAGAACCAUUAUUUGAAUGAAAUAAAAGCUAUGGGAUGGAGAUAUAAAUGGAUCCUUUAUUUCACAAUUGGAUUAUAUUUAUUUGAUACACUGUUGUCAAUAUGAAUGCUGAGAAAAGACUACAAAAGAAAAAAACAAUUUAUAAAUAUAACUAACAAUUCCAAUUUCAAUCAAUUAGACAAUUAGAAUUAUAAGAAGAAAAAAAAAAGAAAUUUCAGUUUUCAGUUUAAAAAAAAUGAAAAAAAAAUGGUUAUCAAAGCCGUCCAAAUAAUACAAGUUUGUUUCCACUCUUUGUUUAAGCAUAGAUGCCAAUUUUUGUUUAUCAUUUUUUUAACCUUUAUUUUUUGUUACAGUAGAAGCCCUGGAAGGAAAUCGAGCACUGGACUUACCAAACUCUUAACUUAUUUCUACACACCAAGAGCUUGAUUUCGGUUCUUAUUUAUACUAUUUAAGCUAUAAGCCGUGACAAGAAUUAGAGAACUAUCAUUUGUUGUGAGCUUCAAUUGGUUAGCACUUUGUAUGUUUUCAUUAGAAUAUAUAUUUCACUUAGACUUUCUUAUUAAAAAAGGGAUCAGCUGGUGACUUUACCACGACAAUCCAAUUUUAUGGGGGUCAUGAAUACUCACAAAGGCAUUUCAGCCUCCCCCUAUAUCUACCGUCGCGUGAUUCACCAUUGUCAGAAAUCGAACCCAAGACGUGUUGUAUAGAAUACGGGCCUAAAAUUCAUUUCUAACCACUGAGUCACCCCGCGUUUGAUUAUAUUUCACUUAGACUUAUCUUGCGGUAUAGCAUGUCAUCCCCGCCCAAGUUUUUCCCUUCGCGUUGACUUUGGGAUACCAAAACUUGCCAAACAAAGUAGAUUGAUUAGUAAGCGAAGCUAAUUAUUCGACUAAACAUUGUUUAGAAUUUUAAUUAAAAGAACCAAUAUGAAUCUGUUUUUUUUUUUUUUGACAAACUAUAACGUUAAGGAGUUAAAUUGUUAGUUGUUAAGAGUACGGGGAUAGGUGAGGAUCGAACCUCCACCAUAGUGCAUAGACAUUAUUGGUUCUACAACUGCUGUAAAUCACAUAAAACAAAACGUAAUACUUUGAGGAUGGAAGACACUUCGUGGAUAGCGGGCAAUCAACACUAUCAGUUGCUAUCCAAAACUUGGAAUUAUGUUUAUUGUCCGAAGGAUUUUUCUUCCAUUAAAUUGCUAAGGAAGAUGAGGAUGGGUAGAGUGUCUAAAUGUCAAGGUUGAUAAGAACGUGUAUGGUGUUCAGCUUGCGAUUGAGAUUUGUUGAGUGGCACAACAAACCACAUAAAAUUUUCUAAAUGAUAAGCUUGAGUAUAAUUUUUUACCACGUAUUUAUCUUUAAAAUCAUUAUAAUUAGAUUUUCUCUUAAUUAAUAUAGACCGUUAGAUUCAUCUAAUGACCCAAGUUUUUUUCCUCUUUUCUUUCUACUCUUUUUUUCUUCUCUGAUUUUCCAUUCACCGUGUAGCAGUCGUUCUUCCCCAACUAAGUUUCUUAUUUUUCUUCACAAAAAAAUUGUAGAAAAUAUUAAGAAAAGAAAAGUCAUCAAUAUCAGACUCGACCAGGUAAUCGUUCCAACCUUCCCAGCAACUCUCAGUCUUAACAAGGCACCAAAUUUUCUCCGCCACCUAACUCGUCAUUCAUUUAUGGGUGUUUCAAGCUUGGUGAAAAUUGAUAGAGUUCCAUGUGUGUACACGGAUGUGAACAUAUUGGCCACUCUCUAAUGUGUUGGUUUAUCACAAAGAACCCAGAUACAAAAUUUUAAAAAGCAAACAAUUACAACUUCUCAAAUAUUAUCUAACAAACUUUCAAUGAAAUGUUGCUCAUAAUUGAAAAAAGGUUGACGAAGGACGGAGUUGGAGUUAUUUUAGAUGGGGAAGAGUUAAAAGAAGGAAGCACCAUUUAAUUAAUAAAAGCGAUUGGAGAAAUAGUAAUUCAAUGGUGGGCGUUUUUAAGGUGUGGACCUUGUAUCACACCCCGAUUCCAACAUACAUUGAGGAUCAACACGUGACAUGGGGACAUAGGGGACAUAAAUCUUAUGUAAGAUACAAAAUGAAAUACUAUAAAUAAUAUCCCAAAAUGAAUAUGAUAGUGGGUUCACCCCUAUAAAAUAUAUACGAGUUUGUACAUUCACAAAAAAAAAAAAAAAAAAAAAAAAAAAACACAUACACACACACAAAACUCUCGCUAGGCCAAGACUUGCCCAUGGUGCUCAAAGGAAAGUCCCAAAAGAAAGAGUACAAUGAAGGAUAAAGGGGUAACCUAAACACUCCAAGUCUCUGAUCUCUGCACUGCUACCCUCACCGGCUCCUCGUAAUCUACUCAGACCUAUCACAUGUACAAACAGUGCCUACAUUGUGGGAAUGGUGCAUCGGGCAAACAAAAACCCGGAUAAGCUGCAAAACUCGUGUGAGUGACAAUAAUGCAACAUAUGUGAUAAUCAAGAAAAACAUACCAUCGAUCGCAGUUUAUAAACCUCAAAUAUAACUUCAUACUUAUGAAAUCAUAAUCAAGUCACUGAAAACUUCGAAUGAGUCACCCAGACAUCCAACGACUUUUUAAAAUCAAAUCUCAGAGAUUCCAAAACUAUCAUUCACAAAUACACUAAAAACUAGGGCUAGAGUGACACAGUUCGGCCAAAGACUACAUAAGUAACCAAACAAGAAGUGGCCCCCCAUAGCGGAUUAACCAAGCAGAGCCACUCCUGAAAAAGUAACCAAGUAGGUAGUGACCCCCAUCACGGAUUAACCAAGCAAAGUCACUCCUACGAAACUGUUAGGUAGUGAUCACCCAUCGCGGAUUAACCAAGCAUGAUCACCCCUAAGUACGUAUGGCCAUACCUAAGAAAUAAGGAUCGCCCACCGCAGAUUAACCAAGCACGAUCCAAAAAUAUUAUGGGUCCCCUAUCACGGAUUAACCAAGCAUGACCAUCCAUGUACCACUACUACAUGGUGUAAAUUCGGUGUCACCUAACCUCGUGACACUAGGGUAACGGUCCUUUACUAGCCCUCACGUUUUUCAAACAUUUCAAAUAUAUAAUUUAAAACACAAUUCAUAAACAUUUCGAAUAAGGAAGUCACAUAGUGUUUAAUAAUGUAGGUCAAUGGAAAACUUUAAAAACAAUUAUUUAGCAUAAAACAUAUUUUAGAAAUCCAUGUUGUAUCCACAAAGUAUACUAGCAUGGGAGAUUUUCAGGGUAAUAACUCUAUCAUAUAUAUUAAAGUCACUCACCUGGAGUCCACACUAACGCACCCUAACACGAAUAUCAAGACGUCACGUACUAUCAUCUGUAACAUCCCACAUCAACCAACGGAGAGAGGGUGAUGUGCCUUAUAUGUACAUGCCCACCUCCAUAGCAUGAGACCUUUUGGGAGCUCACUGGCUUCAUAUUCCAUCGGAACUCCAAAGUUAAGCGAGUUUGGGCGAGAGUAGUCCCAGGAAGAGUGACCCACUGGAAAGUUCUCGUGUGAGUUCCUAGAAACAAAAUCGUGAAGGCGUGGCCGGGGGGGGGGGUUAAAGCGGACAAUAUUGUGCUACGACGAAAUUGAGACUGAGAUGUGACAGAAUGGUAUCAAAGCCACUCUGCCGUGUGGUGCGAGUGUGCCGACGAGGAUGUCGGGCCCCUAAGGGGGGUGGAUUGUAACAUCCCACAUCGACCAACGGAGAGGAGGUGAUGUGCCUUAUAUGUACAUGCCCACCUCCAUUUAGCACGAGGUCUUUUGGGAGCUCACUGGCUUCGGAUUCCAUAAGAACUCCGAAGUUAAGCGAGUUCGAGCGAGAGCAUUCCCAGGAUGAGUAACCUACUGGGAAGUUCUCGUGUGAGUUCCCAGAAACAAAAUUGUGAGGGCGUGGCCAAGGCCCAAAGCGGACAAUAUCGUGCUAUGGCGGAGCCGAGAUUGGGAUGUAACAUCGUCACCUAAGACAAAGUACAAGUCCACAUUUAAAGUUCUUCGUGUAUUCACAUAAUAAAAAAUUUCCAUAUGCCCCCUACAACUAAUGAAGAGAAAUCGAGACACGUUGACAAAAAGUCAACUGUUGAUCAACGGUAGGGUCCAUAACCCUACGUAACUCGAUCUGCAAGAUCCAGCCACUGUAUUUGUGAUUCAUAAGUUCCUAAGGUCCUUAAAUCUUACGUACAAUAACAUACUAAACUUUGGUGACGAUCUAAUUGUCGAAUCAUCAUUUGCUAUAAUGUUCAAAUGACGCAAAUUCAUCAAUCAGAUGUUAAAUAUGGAAUCGGUCAUCGAAUUUAGCUUAGGAAGGUCAAGUGGUGUCUCGAGCCACGUGCUGCCGUGCGCAGCAGCUGGCAACCCAAAUUCGUCGGAAAAAUCACCUAAUUCCAAAAUGAAUGUCGUUAGACGUGGAGUAAAUUGUAUACCUGUGAAGAAGCCCAAUUUGGUCGGGAAGUGGCCUGAAAUCACUUUAGACCGUCGGAAACCCUAAAAUAGGUGAAUCUCGAUUCGUCAUCUCCGGUAUUCCACCGUCCUCAAACUUGUUUAGGGUUUGCUCCUGGUCUCAAAAGAAUGCUAAUGAUGGUGGUGAUUGAAGGAGAAUGUUUCAGAAAUAAUGAAUCGUCGACGAGGGUUUCACGAAACCGACAUGGGUGUUCCUUGUGGAACUAAGACCAAAUCUCAACGGUUUUGGCUAGAAAUGGAUGCUGGGAUGUCGUGGUGAGGUUUGGUAGUGAUGGGAGGUCGAAGAAAGCCAAAAAAAUCGACGAAAAAACAGUCGUCGGAGUCGCAGGAAACGGGUUAGAAAAACGAGUCGCCAGGUCUGAAACGGGUCGAAGGCUUUUGGGACAGCUACUUACUCUCUCUUCUUUGAUUAGUCACUCCACUCACUCUCUCAUUUGAUUAGUCCAGCCUUCCCACAUGGUGGGAGUUCCCUCAUAUAGUAACCCAAAAUUUACUAUUUAAAUCUGGUAUCGAACGUUCGUAACUUUUUCGUUAUAGUUUCGAUUCGCAAACAGCUUUCGCCUACGCGCUCGUAUGAUCGAAUUAUACUCGAAAACAUUAAUUGUGACCUCGAAAAGGUCUACGAGUUUUAAAAGAUUAAUUACAAAAAUUCACACCUUGUAACUAUACGAUCCAAAUUCUAAAAUUAACGGAAUUAAAAUAAACUAAAAAUAAUGUAAACACGAAAUACAGACUUUAAUAAUGAAAUACGUAAUUAAUAGUAGUAUUCCGGGAACGGGAUUUCACACCUUGCGUCCGGACCUUGAGUGCGGAUCAGAAUCCAAAGGUCGUGAUCUGACAAGCUCAUGCAUAGAACGGAGUCGUUGUGACCCAAUGCAAUUCAAAACUUUUAUGUUUUUUAUUUGCUGGGUACGUUUUUGUAGGAGGAAAAGGGGAAGUCGAGGGAUUCUUUGCGCAUUAAAGAGGGAAAGAGAGAAAGGGGGAGCUAAGAGGUUCUUCGCGCGUUAAAUUUUUGCUUCUAAUUUUGCAACCUAGAAAUAAAGUAUUUUCUUUAUGGUUUAUGGUUCAAGAAUAUAAUGGAUGCAACCUAAAAAUGUUUCUUUUUUUAUUUUUUACUUUUUUUCUUCUUAUGUUGGCUUUUGGUUUAUUUUUAUAACGCACUAUAUAUUAACUAAAUUUAUAAACAUUUUGUAUCUUUGUUGCAGUCAAAUUAAUCAUAUGGGUCGGCAUGACUAAGUUCGACUGAGACAUACAGAUGUUUUGCAAUCUUAAGUCUAACCUGACACACCUCGACCUCAAUAUCCAGUGAACACCAAAAUUAAGGUGUGCUGGCCAUCAUCCGGAUGGGUGACGAAACCAUAAUAUGCAUGAAAACAUAACUAAAUUAUCAACCAAUAAAAUCUAUUGAAAAAUUUGGCAGAACAUCCCUUAAAAUAGGGAUAUGCCCAAAUUAAAAACACUUGCACAUGAUCACAAUUAUUCAAACACAUCCCGAAGGGCCACACUUAAUGGGACUUCGACCAUCUAUUACAUGCAUGAGAAUAUGUUCAGAGAAUAAUUACCCAAAUACGUCUUAUUAAAAUAUUGAGUAAAUACCAUACAAGAUAGAAUACGUCAGAGCUGUUGCAAAAUACCUCAACGUCGGAUGUAAUCACUGAUAGAAUUACUGAAUCAUGUAUAAAUGGAAAGCUGAUAAAUACAUGUAAUUUGAGUGGAUACUUACCAACAGCAUGGAUACAAUAUCAUCCACCAGUCGUAACUAGUGAAAACUGGAUAAUAUAAUCAUGUCAUUGCCGAGUAAUCUCAAGGCAAUGACAAGAUGAGAAUGUAACUGAGUAAUCAUAUCAUUACUAAAUAAUUUCAAAGCAAUGACAAGCUGAGAGUAUAACCGUAUAAUCAUGUCAUUACCGCGUAAUCUCAAAAUAAUGACAAGCUGAGAGUAUAACUGUAGUACCUCUUAUUAGUGCAAUGCAUGAUAUGAAUUCCAUCUCACAUAUAUAUGCAAGCCAUAAUCAAACCAAUAAACAUCCAACAAAAGCCACAAUCCUUUUAACAUUCGACCACAAGAUCAAUUUUCAUAUUUCCCAAACCUAGGUUCCGAAGCAUUGUUUCGAAUUAUUAAUACAAGAAACCACCACCACCUCAAUCAAUUCCUAUUCAUAAGUGUAAGCAAUUACUAAAUGCAUCACUUUCGACUCUAGUCUUAAUUAGAUUACUUGGGAUACUCAUUCACACCAUCAGAUCCACGUACAAUUUUGAUAAACUUUAAAUAGCAUGGUUAAAAUAAAUGAAACAUUUGAAUGAAACACUUUUAGAAAAUAAGUGAAGAUGUUGUUUACAAAUAUAGAUGCAUCUGUAUAUAAAAGCUUUGGCGGUUGAUUCGUAUACUUCCAGAGAUAUAAGCAAGUUCAUUGGAAUAUGCAUACAUGGUUAAUGUAUUACGGUAUAAUUAAUAAGAAAACAAUUGCAUCCCCUUCAGAUUAUAUAUAUAUAUAUAUAGACACACACACAUACACAUACAUACACACAGGCCCUUUAUGCAAAGGAAUUUCCAUUUUUUUUCAAAAAAUGGGGAUUAGUUGUGGGGCCCACGCUGCAUUGAACUUUAACGAUCCGAACAAUCUAUUUUGUAAGUCUCGAUUCAUAGAUCAUCCUUGCAAAAAUUCAAUUCAAUCCGAACCCUUUUGCCUAUUUAAUUAUCAAGAUAAAAUUUCAUUGUUUCUUAUAUAACAAAGUAUUCGUUAAUUUCUUUGAACUCAAUUAGAUAUCUUAAACAUUUCCGAUUUGGCUAAUAUUUUGCAAAGAUGAUCUAUGUGGUGCAACUUGAAAAAUAGACGAUUUCGAUUGUUAAAGUUCGAUGUGGUGUGAACCCUACAAUUAAUCUUCAUUUUUAUAAAAGAAUGGGAACCCCUCCCCUUAAAGGUUUCCUAUGUAUAUAUUUGUUCUUCAGACAUAUGCAAAAGGUAAUGUAAAACCAAUGAGAACUUAAAUAGAUAUUCCAUACAUAGGACAAUUCCAUAUAUGCUUUUUCAACAUUUAUAUCGAAAAGCCAAAUUGUUUUGAGGAAAUUAAUUGUAGUAAUGGUCCCUUAACUUUUAUCUUAUUGGAGCAAUGGUCUCUCAACUAAAAAUUCAUGACCAUUGGUUCCUUAACUCCACAAAACGUGUAGUUAUGGUCAUUUUCAUUAACUCCGUCAGAACUUUUGUUAAAACAAGUAAUGUUAGAAGAAUCAUUGCUACAAUCAGGUUAAAGUUGGGGACCAUUGCUCUAAUUGAAUUAAAGUUGAGGGAUCAUUACUCCAAAUUGCUUAAAGUUCAAGGACCAUUUCUACAAUUUUCUCAUCUAGUUUCCCAUAUUUACCCCAUGAUUCAGCUUCACAUGCAUUGCACAUGACUCAUUUUGACAAAAGUUUUAACGAAAUUGACGAAAAUGACCAUAAAUGCACGUUUUGAAGAGUAAGAGACCAAUGGUCGCAGAUUUUAGUUGAGGGAUCAUUGCUCCAAUUUGGUUAAAGUUGAGGGACCAUUGCUACAAUUUGCUCAAAUGUUUCGUAUGCGAAAAUAGGCAUUUGUAAAGUUUGGCUUGUUCAUGGCAUUAUUACUUUAGUCUAAAGUAAGGCUGGAAAUGGCACUGUAGAAAUGAAUAGUGUUCCAAUCCGAAUUUCAGUUUAAUUACAACAAUGCCAUUGCUCUUUGUGUUGCCUUUAGGUGAGCAACCCAACUUCCAGCCAGGCCCAAAUGUAUUGGUUUUAGCUGAGAAGCCCGACCUUUGGUCAGGCCCAAAACUUUAAAUUACAGUUUUGCCCAUACAAAAUAACAAUUUGAUUGUAUCGGGAAGGACAAUUUUGUCCUUUUAGUUUUGGGCGAGAUAGGGGGUAACCGGGUAGAUUUCAUUUGCUGUCGUUGAAUGAAGGUUUCGGGGAUGAAGGUUGUGUGUGUGUGUGAGGGAGAUGACGAUGGAAGGAGAGCGAAGGGGAGGGGAAGGGUUCUCGGCACUGUUGCUGCAUGUGGAUUUCACAAGUGGGUGAAUGGGUAUGGUUAGAGAAUACCAUAUAGGUUGUCGGGAUUUCAGGAAACGGGGUAGGGGUCAUGAAUGAACCCUGCUGAGAGUGGGUGCCGGAUCUUGCGCUGCAUGCCUCAAAUCAAAGAUAAGUUCAUUUUUUUAUUGUAUUCUUUAAUGGUAGCUUAGCUUUUGGAAUUGUUUAGUAUGUUAGGUCCAGUUUUGGGGGAUUUAUCUUUUAGAGAGAGAGAUGGACAGGGAGAUAAAGAUAGACAGAGAGAGAGAGAGGAGGAGGAGGCGGAGGAAGUAUGGCUGUGUGCUAUUUUUGGUGUUAAUUAAUGGGUUGGUGCGCAGGGUGAGUGACAGAGUGACAGAGUGACGGAGGGAUGUGUGGGAGGGUAUGGGUUUUUAGUUCUUUCUUUUGAUUCAAUAGGUUAUACACUGUUUGAAAAACCUUUUUUUUAUUUUUUUGUUCUCGUUUGCUUUGUUAAAACCAUCAUUUGAAUUUUUGGGUUUCACUGUGCUCAUUUCUCUGUUUCUUCAUAAUUUGUUGGUGUUUGCUUCUCAUCCCUCUGUUGGUAGAUCUUUUUCUCAUUUCUUGGUUCCUUAUGUAUUCUUUGGUACAAAUCUGUUUACUUUUUGGUUGUGUGAUAAUCUUAGCAGGUGAACUAUAUGAACGUUUUUUUGAAACGAGCACAGUGAAGCAAGCGUAGAUUGGGAGGCAACCCAAUAUUUCUAUUCAUUGCCUUUUUCUGUCAUUUUCAAUUUUCUUGCAUGCUAAACUGAAUUAUUUCUUUUCUUUGUAUUUGGGUUAUGUCCACCCUUGGAGUUGAUUGCGGAAUUAUAGUUUGGGGGUCAUCAUUUGAUUUCACUGCAAAUUGGGGAAGUUUUUAGUCCAAAUGCCGGAUCACUUCAAGUAUCACCUUCCAUUCGAAGUUCACUUCCAUGCCAUGGAACCUAUGGGAGUGUGACUGGAGGCAUCGUCCGGCUGCAAGACGUUAAAGAAAGCGCUUCUUGGGAGGCAACCCAAGCUUUCUAUCUUUCAUCUUUAUUUUGAAUAAUUUUAAAUGUUCUUGUUCUGUUUUUCUCUUAUUUUCUGGUUUUUGUAUUUAAGUCCUACUUUUGUUCCUUUAUGCAGGUAAUGAUUUUGCAAUCUCUACCACAACUUCUUGCAAGGUAGUUUUACAUUCAUAAAAACGAAAGGAACAUUAAGCAUAUAAAUACAAGAGGGAGCCUUCACAAAGGCUGCUUAGGAGAAGUUUCAGCAGUCGGCGGAGUCCCAGAAGGAGGAGGCAUCAGAGGUUGAUCAUUUGGAGCUUCAUUACGUGGUACAACCCCAGAAGACGAAGGCAAAUGCAAAUAAGGAAGAUCUAUGAAUCGCUUCACAAUCGAAAAGGAACAUAUGGUAGAAAAAUUCAAAGAUGAGCAUACAAACAAGAAGGAGUCUUCAUUGGUCAGGAGGUGUCGCAGCAGUCGAAGGAACAUCAGAAAGACGAAGUGUCAGAGCUUGAUUGUCCGGAGCACUUGGUGAAGCACCAGAUGAUGAAGGCAGAAGUUGCCUCAGGAGUAAAGCCAUAAACCUUUGAUGAUCACUCCGAGCCCGAACUUCAGCCUCUUGCAGCUGGUCCAACUUCCUCUUUAUGCUUGUUGAGUAGUUAGUUGCGAGCAUGUGCAACUCUUUAUCUUCAUGCCUCAGCGCUCUGACCUCUUGCCAAAGGCUAGCCACUUCAGCCAUCAACGACUCCACUUGACGAGUUCGAGCAAGAAGGCGUUGGCCCAUGUUUGAUACUGAGCCUGCACUUUGGACGCUGAAAGCCAAAGAAUCCUGAACAGCCUGCUCGUCAGACCGCUUAGAUAGCAUCCUACUGUCUCUUGGAGUAUGAAGAUUUCUAGCAACCACUGCAGCUGUUGCAUCAUUUCUCAUCACAGUGUCCCCAACUGUAAGAGGACCGUUGGAGGAUAUGAAAGAUGGCUGCCAAAUGUUACCUGGAGACGAGAGGUCAAUAUCUUCUUCGAUAUUCAGGUCAAAACGACGGUCGGAUGGGCUAGACAUUUUCAUAGGUGUUAAAGAAAGAAGAGGUCAGACAAGUCAAGAUAGUAGAAAUGCAAGAAGGGAGUAUUCACAGGCAGAAAUUCAUGUGUGCUUUGAACAUCCUGCGAACCUCUAUAAAAAAUAGCACACAAUGAGAUUUCAGGGAUCGAAUAGGCGAGUUCAGAGAUCGAUGAAGCGCCUGCUUUCUCCAAAGCUAGGCCUACUCAGGAAUCACAGGCUGAUCUCAGGUAGUGAAGACGCGCCUGUCUCUCUCAGCCCCGUCAGCACUUGUCACAUGCAGAGAAAACUUUGAGGAAAUCACGGGCAGUUUGUCGAAGCGCCGAUUCCAACCAUCUGUCUUUCUCAGCCUCGUCAGCUUUGAGGAAAUCACGGGCAGUUUGUCGAAGCGCCGAGUCCAACCGCCUGUCUCUCUCAGCCUCGUCGGCACUCGCUUUCUCAAAAGCUGGGCUUGAAAUCACAGGCCAAUCUUCAGUUUCUAAAUUUGUUCGCACUUGUCACAUGCAACCUCUGCACUCAACGAAGCUCAGAACUCGAAGCGCCAAUUCCGGAUAUUAAAGAAGCCUUUGCUUUAUCAGACGUGUCAGCAUCUGUCAAUUGCACAUCUGCGUUGCGUAAAUCACGCGCAAUCUGUCGAAGAUUUCUGGAGAAACGGAAUGCACGUGAAGUUUACUGUUAAAUUACCCCAGGCUUGCUGACACGAGUACUAGAACAAUGCCUUCCCAGCCAUUAAGAAAAAUUCUACAAAUGUUAAAGGCAACCUCACUCAACUUUCAGCCUCACUCAACCUUUCUUCCUCUCUGAGAAUGUAUUCCCGAAGAAGCCUCCCGAGUCACUCUGUGUUUCUCAUCCCUUGGGAUACCCCUGCAAACAACCCACCCAGAGCAAAAGUAUUUCAUAUCAUAACGGUUGAGAGCAAGAGUAUCUCAUAUCAUGCUUUCUCCCUGUCCUUUGUCUCGCCAGCACUUGGUAUCAAUCUUCCGAGCGGGGACCGACUGCCUGGAACCCAUUCCUGAUUGCUUACCUAACCUUGCUCUCGAGUACUCAUCCUUCUUAUGUUUCCUCUUCGUCUACCACAUAGGGGAAGUGAUAAUGAUACCUCGAAGCAUGUGGAUACAACGUGCUGAUUCAUCCUCAACUAAGGACAAGGGAGAAAGCAAGCAAGAUGUGGGCACUUGGAAAGAUUGAACAAAGAAACAGACUAACACCUCUACCUCGUGCCUGCCUACCGAGCAGAAGAAACAAGCAGAGAAGAAUGCAGACUGCACAAUCAAACAACCCAGGAACUCUGAUAUUCCUCGCUCAGGAUUCCAAACCAGUUUGAGAUUCGCCUACACAAAUUGGUGUGUUCUUUCCUUUUCUUUAUGUGUCUUUAUUUCAUUUUAUAUUUCUUUCCUUCCAUUUUCAUGUCUUAUUGUUCAAAAAUUCCUUUCAUUAUCAUUGGGGACAAUGCUAUAAUUAAGUUUGGGGGUAUUUGGAAAUAUAUUUCGUUAGUUUAUUUCUCUAUUAAAAAAAAAAAAAAAUUUUGCAUUUUUAUUGUUGUUUGUAGCUACUUCUCAAUUCAAUGAUGAGAUUUGAUUUUAAUUUCCUUCUUACUUUCAAGAAAGUCUAAGUUCUUUUCGUUGUCUUUGUGUUAACUGUGAUUUCCAGAAAUCAACUUGAAAAAAGAAAUGUGCCUAGUCUUGUCAAUGUGAAACUUGAGCAUGAUUUAGCGUUUCAUAUGUGAAUCAUGUGAGAUUAUGUAAACCUUGUGAGUUUUUUAGCCUAUACAUGAUUGAACCAUUAUGCAUCAAUCUCAUUCCUUCUUGUGCGUAUGAUCUCACUGUACAUGUAUCUCUAGAACUUGCUUUAUACUACUCGAUUCAUUAAUCAAUUCAUGUAAUAACUUGGAAGUGAUAUAGGCCAUCUUUGGAUCGUUUGAGCCUUUCAUGCCUACCUUAUAUGCUAUGUUUAUCCUUAGUAGCCCUUUGAGCCUUUAACUAAGCCAUUUCUUUGUUAACCACAUCUCUUUACCUUGCUCCAAUAUUGGAGUUGAGCCCAUACACAAAAAUCGAUUCCUUAUUGUUUUGAGAAAGUAUUACAUGGGUUGUGCUUUUGGGGGUUUCAUUUAUAUAGAAAGAUGGAUGGAGUAUGUGUAUACAAUGAAAUGUGAAUUUGAUGGGUGAUGUAGAUUUUGAAAAUUAUUUCAAAAGAAAAAAAAAACGAAAAAAAACGAAAAAAAUGAAAAUUGGAGAGUGUUGAUUUGUUGAAAAUGUGUCGGUAGAGUAUAAAUUUCCUUUUAAAGUUAAAUUUGGGGAGUAACAGGUGCUCGAGGUUUUAUUAUUUUGCUUUCAAUUUGAGGUGGUGUGAUAUUGAGGUGUUGGAAAACUACCAAAGUGUACUUUCUCAAAAUUUUUGAUUUCCAUAUCCUUUCUUUCAUUAGCCUAUCACCUUUAGCCCCAUUACAACCGUAAUAAAGUCCUAUUGAUCCAAGGUAUUACUUAAAUAUUGAUAAGCGAGUUAGGUGGACAAGCAAGCACAUGGCGGCAUGUACAAUGAGAUUACUUGAGUGAAACACAUUAACAAAAAAUUAUGAGUGAAUGAGCGUAUGUCUUGUGAGAAACUCACAUGUUUGCAUAUGAUGAUUUAAAGGAGCUUGGAAUUGCAUUGACAUAGCUAGCUCACACAUGGCAUUUCAACGUUUUGUUUGAAGGAAAUUUGGUUAACUAUUGGAUGAUGUUUUGAGCUCUUGCUUACUUCUUGGCAGUGUAUCUCAUGACUAGCACUUAUCUCUGAAAUCGAAAUUGAGAAGUUGGCUACUAAGUUGUUGAAUCUAGUCUUAGUUGAGUGGUUUUGUUUUGCUAGAGGACUAGCAAAAAUGUAAGUUUGGGGGUAUUUGAUCACUCAUAUAUUUCAUGCAUUUAUACCAUCCAUUUCUAAAGUCUUUGUGAUGUUUUUGUGUUAAAGUUGUGGCAUUUUACCUUACCUUGUGUUAAUGUACAGUUAAUUUUAUUUUAGGAUCAAUUUCAAAGAAAAUGGGCUGAAAAGAAAAUAAAAGAAAAGAAAUAAAUGGGACGGAAAGGAAGACACUGACAGAAUAAAAGAAUGAAGAAAGAGGUAGAACGGCAGAUAGAGAAGUGGGAAGAAAGUGGAGUGCGCAUGGGAUGGAAGUGGAACAAAAAGCAGGAGAGGGAGUGAGGAGUGCGGGAUAAAAGCAAAGAAAAAUAGAAGAAUAAGAAAGAAGUGGGAGGACACGGACUGAGUGGAAGAAUUAAAGAGAGAAGCAGGGUGCAGGCACGGACAGAAAGGAGAACUGAAGAAUAAAAGAGAAGACAGAGAAGCAGAAAAAAGAAGAGAAACUGACGUGAAAGCCAGUGCGCAGAGGGCGCAGAGAGAUAGGAGAGAUUGUGCGGGAGCAGAAGCACAGAAGCAGAGGGAACAAAAUCACAGACUGACAGCAGACGCAAGAGGCACGGCAGAGAGCAAAGCUUCACUCUAUUUUUCUUGGUUUUAUCUUCUCAAACCCAUGUUUUACUUUUGGUUUAAUUUGUGAAUUAUGUGUAACUAAAUUUUAAGUAGUUAGGGGCUGUUUUGAAGCCCCGAAUAUGAUUGUAAGUUUGUUGUGAUAUUUUGUUUGAAUGACUUUUAUGAAAGGAUGAAAAUUGUUUCACUACUUAUGUGAUUGAUAAAUUCUUUAUGUGUUUCUAUGGAUGCAUACAUAGUGAGCAUAUCUAGGAUUUUAAUGCUAUGAAUAUAUGUUUACCUGCCCUUGUUGAAUGAGGACCUACAUAUGUUCUAGAGUAGCACUUGUUAAUUGUGGUUAACAUGUGAACCGAUUUCUAGGAUAAGUAAGACAAUGCCAGUACUUAUCAUGCCUUGUGAUGACUCAAACUCUUUUCGUUCUUAAUGAUUUCUACUUGUUAAAUCUAUGAACACGACAUUCUAGAUUACAUGCUAGGGACUACGUUAAGUUGAAAACGCUAUUCUCUUAACAUACUACGUAAGAAAAAGUAAUAGGUUGUGUUCUAACAUUGAGCCAACUUGAGCAUCUUCAUCCGGAAAUAAAAGGAAUUUGAAUGAAACAUAACAUGUUUGCAUGAUUAUUUGGUGGUGGAUAGCAUUUCCCCUAAUUCGUUUUCUUAACUUGUGAAUUAAAAUCUAUUGGUAUUAUUUAAAACUGGUUGAGGUCCUGUUUUGUCCGAUUUAAUUUAAAUAGCUAAUCAACUUCAAAAAUCCCAAACAUUUGUGUGAGCAUAGCUUGGUGUGUCUAGUUUAUGUGUAUAAAAUUUCGUUGCAUUUGGAUAAGUGUAAGUUAGUCUAAUAAUUAUUGUUCGGUGGCUGGUCAGUGGAGACAACCAUCCUGUUUUUGUGACAUUUUAAGUGUUUGGAUAAAACAAUUUUCUGCGGAAAAGACCCUUAUUUUCAUAUGCUACAAUCGACAAAAUUUUAGUGUUAAUAAGGAAAAUCAAUAGGAUUAUUGUGGGCUACUUUGUGGUGCGUUAUAAUUACUACCAUGCUGUCAGUGGGUGUUAAUAUCAGGUACCCAUGUUCAGUUUUUCGUUUUGAUUUGAAGGAAUUUCUUGCGGAGAGGAGCAAGGGUUUCUUGGUGAGUUCUUCGGGUUGUGCAUAUGGGUAAUUUUCUUUUCGGUUUAACCCUCUGCUUCUGCUGCUCUCUCUCUUUCUCUCAUCCCUGCCUGCUCCUCUCCAAUUGUUUGCUGUUCUUAAAUAUUGUGUUCAUUGCCUGAUACAAGGGGCUGCAGCAAUCUGUUUUAUCCUACACGGGACAACGAGGCAAUGGCGUGACAACAGGUGAGCUUGGAUAUCCAAAGAAAAAGAACAGUUGGUUCAUCUGCUGGAGUCUGAGCUUAGAGAAGUGGAGGAAAAUUGCAGGUGUGCGAGAAAUUUUAUUUUGCUGAUAGGACUCCUUAUUUACUGAUGCAUUUUGAAAUAAUUGAAAAGUUGGAUUUGAGUUAACAGCUAUAAAAAUGUAGACAUGAUUGCUGAGAUUAUGCUAUGAAAGUGGAAUAAAAAAAUGGUAGUUUAUAAUAUUGCGUACCAAUUGUUUUCUCUCUUUUUUACCAAAUGAUAAGGGUGGUGGCUCAGGCCGCCCCCCUAAGCGUCCCCACUCUUCGACAAGUUGAAAUCGUGGUGAUAGUUUAUGGGCUGUGGUCUUGGGAUUCUGCAAAUAGAAUGAAAAACAGACACUUAACUAUCUUGUUAUUAAGCAUUUCUGCAUCAUUCAGUUGCUCUUGAUUUUCGUCUUUUAAGCGAUCUUAUUUCUGCGAUCUGACUUGAGGAGGGUUUUUAGACCUAUGGUUGUGGGUGUUUUCUCUGACCCCAUUAUCCGAGAUUUGUAGACUUGCGAUCGGCGGUCAAACAUUUUGUGAUUCUUGUUUUCUCUGCCUUUCGGUCGUUAAGCGCCGGCAGUCUUUAGAUCUUUGGCAAAUCAAUUUAAUACAACCGAGGUAUGUUUUAUAACUGCUGUCUUUCAAUUUUUGUUCUGUAUUUUUGUUAAUUUGGAUGAAGCUCUAAUAAUUUUGUUUUGGAUCAGUUGUGGUCCUCUGUUAGGAUUUUCCUGGCUAAGAGGGUAUUUGCGUUUUUGUUGCUUGGUUGGUCGAUCACAGAUUUACGAACAGCUGUGGUGGUCCUGUUAUUUUUUGGUAUGUUUUUUCUCCUUUUUGGUUUUUUUCCCGGUUUGAGCACCCAUUCUUGAAGAAUUAAAAUGUGUUUUAUAGUUUUUUCAGGAGAGAUUAGAAAAGUGAUUUCAAUUUGGGAAAAUUUAAUGUUGGUUAAAAUUUGUUUAUAAUUUUUGGGAAGGAAUGAGAGGACCCAUUGAAGUAUGUGUUGUGAUUAUUUUUUAUUCAUAUUUUUAACAAAUUGGGCAUGAAUUGGUAGGUUAACUGUGUGUGUUUAUUAUUUGAAUCGGCCAUGUUUGUCUUUCUAUGGUUCUAAAAAAUUUGUAAAGGCUGUUAACUUGGAAGAAAAUGGGAUCGAGGGUGAGGGGAAAACGGCAGAGAAAGCAUGGAAGAGAGAUUUGGGAUUAGGGGUAGGAAAACAGAUGAAAAGAAUAUGAUAGAGGAAUGGGUUCAGUUCAUUUUCACUAUUUUUUUUUAACUGAUUUGGAUUUUGUUUGGGUUUAACUCCGCCUAUGUCUUACAUGGCCGGUCCCAAGCCCGGAUAAAGGAGGAGGGGGAGGGCGUCAGGUAGUCGACAGCCGGCACUCCAUGAUCAUGUCGAAUCCUUAUGAAAAUGAAUCCAGAACAAAAUCGCGCUAAAGCUAGGACGUCACCCGUAAGUGGCGCGCUGUAUGGCCCGAGCACAGUGAUAAGUGAGCAAGGGUCGCUGUAUCUCCAUCGGCACCCGGAUGCAGUGUUAAAUGAGCAAGGGGGCCAUAGAAACUUCUUUUCGAACGACUCCACUCAAAGUUGUUUGAGAGCAUAUGCUCCUAUCAACUUUACCCGGGACACACAAAAGAAGUACUUUGAUCCUAUUAGACGGGGGAGGGUGAAGAAGCUAGGACAGAAGGGUAGAGUUCAAGAGAGCAAAAUGCGUUUAGGAACGUGGAAUAUAGGAACCUUAACGGGAAAAUCUAUGGAAGUAGUGGAAGUUAUGGUGAGGAGAAGGAUAAAUAUUAUGUGCCUACAAGAAACUAAGUGGGUUGGUAGUAAGGCAAAGGAUCUAGAAAACUCAGGGUUUAAACUUUGGUAUUCGGGCACAAAUAGAACGAGAAACGGUGUUGGCAUCAUCGUGGACAAGACCUUGGUACAAGAUGUUGUAGAUGUCAAGAGGGUAGGAGAUAGAAUCAUGGCAAUCAAGAUUGUAAUAGGACAAGAACUUAUCAAUGUGAUUAGUGCGUACGCACCUCAAGUAGGGUUGGAUACGAGUUCGAAGGAGAAAUUUUGGGAAGAUCUUGGAGACUUGGUGCAAGGAAUUGCUCAGACGGAGAAGUUAUUUAUAGGAGGAGAUUUAAAUGGACACGUGGGCAGGGAGACAGGCAACUAUGGAGGUUUUCAUGGUGGCCAUGGUUUUGGGGAGAGAAACGAGGAUGGGGAAGCUAUCUUGGAUUUUGCAAUGGCAUAUGAUCUCUUCUUAGCCAACACCUUCUUUAAGAAGAGAGAAGAACAUGUGAUCACCUACAAGAGUGGGUCGUCAAAAACACAAAUAGAUUUUCUUCUAAUGAGGAAAGGGGAUCGUAUAACUUGUAAGGAUUGCAAAGUUAUACCAGGAGAGAGCGUGGCUAAUCAACAUCGCUUGUUGGUGAUGGAUGUACAUAUCAAAAGAGUAAGACAAAAGAACAAGACUUGGAAGUGCCCAAGGACUAGAUGGUGGAAUCUAAAAGAAGAAAAACAAGCCAUUUUCAAAGAGAAGGUAAUCACCCAAUGUGUGUGGGAUAGAGAGGGGGAAGCUAGCCAAAUGUGGGAUUCCAUGGCUAGUUGUAUCCGAAAAGUAGCAAAAGAGGUAUUAGGAGAGUCCAAGGGCUUUGCCCCACACCAAAAGGAAUCUUGGUGGUGGAAUGAGGAGGUACAAACAAAGGUGAAGGCUAAGAAGGAAUGUUGUAAAGCCUUAUACAAGGAGAGGACCGAUGAAAAUGGUGAAAGGUAUAGAAAAGCGAAGCAAGAGGCGAAGAAAGCUGUCAGAGAAGCUAAGUUAGCGGCUUACGACGAUAUGUAUAAACGACUAGAUACCAAAGAAGGAGAGUUGGAUAUCUAUAAACUAUCUAGAGCAAGGGAAAAGAAGACAAGGGACCUAAACCAAGUGAGGUGCAUCAAGGAUGAGGAUGGAAAGGUUCUUGCUACAGAGAACGCGGUUAAAGACAGAUGGAGAGGUUAUUUUCAUAAUCUUUUCAAUGAAGGACAUGAAAUGAGUGCUUCUUUAGGGGAGUUGAGUAACUCAGAAGAGUGUAGAAACUACUCUUUUUAUCGUCGAAUCCGGAAGGAAGAAGUGGUUGUAGCUUUGAAGAAGAUGAAGCAUAAAAAAAGCAAUAGGCCCAGACGAUAUACCAAUCGAAGUGUGGAAACUUUUGGGAGAGACAGGUAUAACAUGGCUCACUGACCUUUUCAAUAGGAUUUUGAAAACGAAGAAGAUGCCAAAUGAGUGGCGAACGAGCACUUUGGUGCCUAUCUACAAGAAUAAGGGCGACGUACAAAAUUGCAUGAACUAUAGGGGUAUUAAGCUAAUGAGUCAUACAAUGAAGCUCUGGGAGAGAGUCAUUGAGCAUAGAUGAGGCAAGAGACACGGGUUUCGGACAACCAAUUCGGGUUCAUGCCAGGGCGCUCAACCAUGGAGGCAAUCUAUCUCUUACGAAGAUUGAUGGAAAGAUAUAGAGAUGGGAAAAAGGAUUUACACAUGGUCUUUAUAGAUUUGGAAAAAGCGUAUGAUAGGGUCCCAAGAGACAUUCUUUGGAGGAUUUUAGAGAAGAAAGGAGUACGAGUAGCAUAUAUCCAAGCUAUAAAGGAUAUGUAUGAAGGAGCAAAGACUGCCGUAAGAACUCAUGAAGGACAAACCGAAAGCUUUCCCAUAACUGUAGGAUUACAUCAAGGCUCAUCCUUAAGUCCUUACCUUUUUGCGUUGGUAAUGGAUGAGUUAACAGGACAUAUUCAAGAUGAUAUUCCUUGGUGUAUGCUUUUCGCAGACGAUAUAGUGUUGAUAGAUGAAACUCAGGAAGGGGUAAAUGCAAAGCUUAACCUUUGGAGAGAAGUGUUGGAAUCUAAAGGUCUUCGCCUAAGCCGAUCAAAGACAGAAUAUAUGGAGUGCAAGUUCAGUGCAAAUGGAGGCCAAAACGAGUUAGGGGUGAGGAUCGGAGAUCAAGAAAUACCAAAGAGCGACCGUUUUCGUUACCUAGGAUCUAUCUUGCAAAAGAACGGAGAAUUAGAUGGAGAUCUCAACCAUAGAAUACAAGCUGGAUGGAUGAAGUGGAAGAGUGCAUCCGGCGUGUUGUGUGACCGCCGUAUGCCACUGAAGCUCAAGGGAAAAUUUUAUAGGACGGCAAUAAGGCCGGCGAUGCUGUAUGGCACAGAAUGUUGGGCGGUGAAACAUCAACACGUACACAAAAUGGGUGUAGCGGAGAUGAGGAUGCUUCGUUGGAUGUGUGGGCACACGAGAAAGGAUAAGAUUAGGAAUGAGGAUAUCCGGGGUAAAGUAGGAGUAGCCGAAAUUGAAGGAAAGAUGAGAGAAAAUCGGUUACGGUGGUUUGGACAUGUGCAAAGAAGGCCUACUGACGCUCCGAUUAGAAGAUGCGACUAUGGGACAGAGGUUCAGGGCCGAAGGGGUAGAGGAAGACCUAGGAAAACUUUGGAAAGAGACUCUAAGAAAAGACUUAGAGUACUUGGAUCUAACGAAGGACAUGACACAGGAUCGAGCACAAUGGCGUUCUAAGAUUCAUAUAGCCGAUCCCACUCAGUGACUUGGAUUUUCCAAGUCUCCAACCGAGAAGUUUUCCUCACUCGGAAAAUUAAGGGAACACUACCCCAACCUACAUGCUCCACUCAGAAAGCUUCAACAUACAAGCUUCAACAAAAGAAAAUUCAAAGAACUUAGCGAAGAAGGCUUUGGUGUAUUUAACACAAUACGUUGAAAUGAAGGAAAGCUUAUUUAUUGAUAUCCCCGAUAAGCUACAAAUAUGUACAUAUACAUGAGUCAAAAUAAACACACAAGAGGGAGCCUUCACAAAGGUUGCUUAGGAGAAGUCUCAGCAGUCGGUAGAGCCCCAGAAAGAGAAGGCACCGGAGGGGGAUCAUUUGGAGCCUCAGUACUGGACAGAACCCUAGAAGGAGGAGGCAUCAGAGGUUGAUCAUUUGGAGCUUCAUUACGCGGUACAGCCCCAGAAGACGAAGGCAAUAAAUGCCUUUGGAACAAACCCACAAAUCUCUGAUGAUCAAGUAAAACCUGACCAUCAGUUUCCUUCAUCUGGUCAAGCUUCCUCUUCAUGUUUGUAGCAUAGUCAUGUGCGAGCCGGUGCAACUGUUUAUUCUCAUGCUUGAGCCCUCUAAUCUCCUGUUUGAGACUCAUCACUUCAGCCGCCAAUGAUUCAACUUGGCGGGUUCGAGCAAAUAGGCGUUGGGCCAUAUUAGACACAGAACCUGCACACUGAACACUGAGAGCCAGCGAAUCCUUAACAGCUAACUCAUCAGACCGUUUGGAAAGUAGUCUGUUAUCUUUGGGAGUGAGAAGGUUCCUGGCCACCACCGCAGCGGUCAUAUCAUUCUUCAUCACGGAAUCCCCAACGGUAAGAGGACCAGUAGGGGAGACGAAGGAUGGGCGCCAUAUGUUGUCUGGAGAAGGCGGGGCUGCCUCUUCAACAAGGUUCAAGUCAAAACGACGGUCGGAGGGGCCAGACAUUUUCAAAUGUGUUGAAGAGAGAAGAGGUCGGACAAAUCAAGAUCUUAGAAGUGCAAGAAUGAAGCUUCUACUGGUGGAGAUUCAAGUGUGCUUUGGAACUUAAUGCCAGCCCCUAUAAAAAUCUGCACUCGACGGAGCUUCAGAAAUCGAAGAGGCGCCUGCUCAGAAAUCGAAGAGGCGUUUGCUUUCUCAAAAGCUGGGCUGCUUAGAGAUCACGAGGGUUGAUCUCAGAAAUCGAAGAGGCGUUUGCUUUCUCAAAAGUUGGGCUGCUCAAAGACCUCGAAGGCUGAUCUCAGAAAUCGAAGAGGCGCUCGCUUUCUCAAAAGCUGGGCUCCCUAGAGACCACGAGGGCCGAUCUCAGAAAUCGAAGAGGCACCUACUUUUCCAGCCUUGUCAGCACCUGUCACACGCGCACACUCAGCUUUGCGGAAAUUAUGGGCAUUCUGUCGAAGACUUCUGGGGAAGUAGAAAAAACACAUGAAUCUUACUGUUCAAUCACCCACUUCCCACACGCAACAAUAGCUCAUGGGUACCACAGAUAACUUUGCCAAAGUUCUCUGCCAAAGUUGAGCACGUGAAGCUUGCAGCUCCCACUACAUCGCUCUGACCAAGAAGGGUAAAAGAAUAGCAAAGAAACACAGCACUAACAAAGUUUAGACCCAUAAAUUUUGAAGGUCUAGCUACCAUAUUAUUACCACACACAGGGUAAAGGAACAGUACCACUGCUGGAUAAUUGGAAAGUCCCUGUUUGUCAACCUCUGUGCUUCGUGGCAAGGUAGACUAGCAAACAUGCCCAACCUUUACUCACAUUCGAGAAAACACUCCCAAUAAGAUUGCUUGCUCCAAAAUCGAAGAGGCACCGUCCUCCGAAUCUCGAGAGCCAGACUCCCAACAUGACUACUUUCUUAAAAAUCGAAGAGAGGGUAAAGGAACAGUACCAUUGCUGGAUAAUUGGAAAGUCCCUGUGUGUCAACCUCUGUGCUUCGUGGCAAGGUAGACUAGCAAACAUGCCCAACCUUUACUCACAUUCGAGAAAACACUCCCAACAAGAUUGCUUGCUCCAAAAUCGAAGAGGCACCGCCCUCCGAAUCUCGAGAGCCAGACUCCAAACAUGAUUACUUUCUCAAAAAAUCGAAGAGACACUGCUCCCCGAAUCUUCGAGAGCCAGACCCCCAGCAUGAUUGCUUUCUCAAAAAUCGAUGAGGCAUCGUUCUCCGAAUCAAUCGAAGAGGCGCUCGCUUUCUCAAAAGCUGGGCUGCUCAGAGACCACGAGGGCCGAUCUCAGAAAUCGAAGAGGCACCUACUUUUCUAGCCUUGUCAGCACCUGUCACACGCACACUCAGCUUUGCAGAAAUUAUGGGCAUUCUGUCGAAGACUUCUGGUGAAGUAGAAAGCACAUGAAUCUUACUGUUCAAUCACCCACUUCCCACACGCAACAAUAGCUCAUGGGUACCACAGAUAACUUUGCCAAAGUUCUCUGCCAAAGUUGAGCACGUGAAGCUUGCAGCUCCCACUACAUCGCUCUGACCAAGAAGGGUAAAAGAAUAGCAAAGAAACAGCACUAACAAAGUUUAGACACAUAAAUUUUGAAGGUCUAGCUACCAUAUUAUUACCCACAAGGGUAAAGGAACAGUACCACUGCUGGAUAAUUGGAAAGUCCCUGUGUGUCAACCUCUGUGCUUCGUGGCAAGGUAGACUAGCAAACAUGCCCAACCUUUACUCACAUUCGAGAAAACACUCCCAACAAGAUUGCUUGCUCCAAAAUCGAAGAGGCACCGUCCUCCGAAUCUCGAGAGCCAGACUCCCAACAUGACUACUUUCUCAAAAUCGAAGAGAGGGUAAAGGAACAGUACCAUUGCUGGAUAAUUGGAAAGUCCCUGUGUGUCAACCUCUUUGCUUCGUGGCAAGGUAGACUAGCAAACAUGCCCAACCUUUACUCACAUUCGAGACAACAGUCCCAACAAGAUUGCUUGCUCCAAAAUCGAAGAGGCACCGCCCUCCGAAUCUCGAGAGCCAGACUCCCAACAUGAUUACUUUCUCAAAAAUCGAAGAGACACUGCUCUCCGAAUCUCGAGAGCCAGACCCCCAGCAUGAUUGCUUUCUCAAAAAUCGAAGUGGCAUCGUUAUCCGAAUCUCGAGAGCCAGACUCCCAACAUGAUUACUUUCUCAAAAAUCGAAGAGACACUGCUCUCCGAAUCUCGAAAGCCAGACCCCCAGCAUGAUUGCUUUCUCAAAAAUCGAAGAGGCAUCGUUCUCCGAAUCUCGAGAGCCAGAUACCACAUACCACUUUUUCAAAGUGCUCUGACAGAGUUAAAACAUGUGAAACUGGCAGCUCCCACUACCGUGCUAUGACCAAGCAGGGUAAAGGAAUAACAUUACUACUUGUUAGGGAGACUCCUAUAUAUGUUGACCUCCAUCCCCAACAGACAGGCAGACCUGCAAAAAUGCUCAACCCUUCAUCAUAUCUGAGAGGGCACUCCCAACGAAGCCUUUCGAAAUAUUCAGCUUUCUUUCCCCCCGAUAAUACCUCUGCAAACAAGCUAUACUAGAGCAAGAAUAUCUCAUAUCAUCAGGGUUAAAAGCAAGAGUAUCCCAUAUCAUGCUUUUUCCCUGUCUUUUCCUUUGGCCUUGUUUUUACCUGCAAGACAAGGAGAAAGAGAGCAAUCAGUCAGCACUUGGAAUCAAGCUUCCAGCUAGGAACUGACUGCCUGGAACCCCUUACCUGAUUACUUACCUGGCAUUGCUCUCGAGUACUCAUCUUCAACAUCUUAUGUUUCCAGGGAAGAUUCCGCAUCUGCUUGAGGAACAGAUAGGGCAAGUGCGAAAGAUACAAGGAAGCAUGUGGAGACAAGCGUAACAGCACACGUGCCGAUACAUCCAUUACUCUGUCAAAAGCAAAAGUAUCCCAUAUCAGCAGGGUGGAAAGUACUCUAGAUUUGAUGGACUUGUUUUGACCCUCAAAUUCUUCAGUCGACCUUAUACUCUGGAGGAAACCAGAAAACCCUCCAGCUCAGUUCAAGAAUAAGCCUGUGGAAAGUUACUUCUUCAAAAGCAAAAGUAUCUCAUAUCAUCUCUUCUCAUUUUUCUUCUCUUUAUCCUUCAUGCUGCUGCAAGAUGGGGAGAAGGUGAACAAUCAGUCGGAGCUCUGAUUGCUUACCUUGUCUGUCACCUCUUUCAGCAGACCCCUAGCUCGGCGACUUGGGGGACUCCUACUACAUGGUUUGUAUCGCGCUUGACCAAGCCUGAAACUACAAGUAAGCUUCAAGUGAAAUUGAUACAUUACCUUGUGCAUCUCCACCAGUUAAAGAUACCACCCCUGGAUGGAGGAAGAGUACUUCCAGAAAAGAUGCCACAUCUACCUAUGAGACAGAUAAGGCAAGUCAAGACGACACCACACUCCGAUACUUAGAAGUUUCGUGAUUACGAGAUCAUUCUCCCACAAUAUUUCCUAAUGUCAUUUGUACUAAAUCAUUCACUUGUACUCACUAAAGGAGAGCUUGAACCUAUGUACUUGUGUAAACCCUUCACAAUUAAUGAGAACUCUUCUAUUCCGUGGACGUAGCCAAUCUGGGUGAACCACGUACAUCUUGUGUUUGCUUUCCUAUCUCUAUCCAUUUAUAUACCUAUCCACACUAAUGACCGGAGCAAUCUAGCGAAGAUCACAAAAAGCGACCGUUUUCGCUACCUAGGAUCUUAUCUUGCAAGAGAACGGAGAAUUAGAUGGAGAUCUCAACCAUAGAAUACGAGCUGGAUGGAUGAAGUGUAAGAAUGCAUCCGGCGUGUUGUGUGACUGUCGUAGGCCACUAAAGCUCAAGGGAAAAUUUUAUAGGACGGCAAUAAGGCCAACGAUGUUGUAUGGCAUAGAAUGUUAGGCGGUGAAGCAUCAACACGUACACAAAAUGGGUGUAGCGGAGAUGAGGAUGCUUCGUGGGAUGUGUGGGCACACGAGAAAGGAUAAGAUUGGGAAUGAGGAUAUCCGAGGUAAAGUAGGAGUAGCCGAAAUUGUAGGAAAGAUGAGAGAAAAUCGGCUCCGGUGAUUUGGACAUGUGCAAAGAAGGCCGAAUGACACUCCGAUGUGACUACGGGACAGAGGUUCAGGGCCGAAGGGGUAGAGGAAGAUCUAGGAAAACUUUGGAAGAGACUCUAAGAAAAGACUUAGAGUACUUGGAUCUAACGGAGGACAUGAUACAAAACCGAGCGCAAUGGCGUUCUAGGAUUCAUAUAGCCGACCCCACUUAGUGGGAAAAGGCUUUGUUGUUCUGUUGUUGUUGUUGGAUUUUGUUUGGGUUUGAGGCCAUCAUUGGCGUUAAGACGUUUAUUAUCAGAUCGUGUGUUUUUUGCUAACUUUUAUUGGUAAUUUUAAUGUUGUUCUUAUGAUUUUGUGUGGUAGGGUUUCUGAUUUUUAUCGUUAUUCAUUUGGUUUUUUGUGUGUGUUGGUUUGUUUAUUUUGCAGGUUGUGUUUGUGCUGGGACAACAUUUUCCACCUUCUGUUUGCACUGGGAUGAUUGCGUUUUAAAACUGUUGGGGUGAGAUUUACAUAUGGAAUCAUUCCAUUUUUUUUCUUCCAAAUAUGUGCAUUUAGUUCUCUUUUAUUUUAAAUUUUAAAAAUUAAAUCGUUAUUUGAGUAAAAUGUUUUAUCAGUUUAUGUUAUGUGUUGUGACCAGGAAUUCUGUUGGAUUUGCGAAUUUUGGUUUGAUGAGAGAAAUGAGGAGUUUUUUUUGUUUGAAUUUUUUAUUGGACCGAUUUUCAAUUGGAUUGCAUUCUGCCUUUUUGCACCAUUCGUAUGCAAGCAAUUCAUUGUUUUAAAUACAAUUUGAAGAGAGCUGGGUUGCGGGUUGGAUAUAAAAUGUUAAGGUGAGAUAAAAUCGAGAUACCAAGGGUGGAAGAAUGAUUCAGAAUUGGGGGAGGAAAACAGAGGGAAGAUAGAAGAGUAUAAGAGAAGGAUAGGGUUGACCUCAUUUAGAGUUUUUAUUUACUUAUUUUUUUUUAUAAAUUGAUUCAGGACUUGCAUAUCAUUUCUAAAUUUCUAACAUUUUUGUUUAAUUUGACUCCAGUUGAUGGAAAACAGAGCUCUUACUCCUAUCAAUCAGUUGGUCCCGUACAUAAAUGCAGAAAAAUCAAGGUUCGAGUUUGCAGAGUAUGCAGACCAAGGUUUCCCGAAACUACUGGUGCAUAUUCAGGCUUGCAUUGUAUAUUACUUACCUAUUAAAAAUUUGUUUGGAAUUUGCUUUUCCCACAGAGGAGAAGAGCUGACAGUUACGCUGUGGGCAGAUGUUGCUCGAAGUAUUGCUUCUUUAUCCAUUGAAUCAUUGUCUCUGCCGAUCAUUGUGGUUUUCACAAGUUUAAAGGUCAAGCUGUACCUAGGUAUUUGACUUAGUUAAAAACUAAUCUAUUUACUAUUAAUUUUUCUAUUAUAUUCAAACGUUAUUUAAUAUAUACUCUACUAAUAUUUUCUUAACAUGUCACACAAACAUAUUCACUUCUUUUGAUCAAUUUUUUACAGCGUUUCAUAUAAAAGCUAACAUUUAGUUGAAAUUGAUUAGCAACUCUUUUCUUGCAUGUAUACAUACGAAUUAAACAAUAGUAUUAAACUAUUUGUUAUCAUUCUCAGUUUUUGUUUUAGAAUUAGAUUAAUAUAUUUAACCUGUUUUAGAAUUAGAAUUAUUUGGUAUCACUCUCAGUAUUUGUUUUAGAAUUAGAAUUAGAUUAAUAUACUGAGAUUAUUUAGACAAAUCUAGCAUUUUCUCAAAAUAUUUGACUUUUAAACUUAGAUUAAUAUAUUUAGCAGUUUUUUAACAUGCAAUUUUUCAUUAAUUUUUCAACACACAGACAAGAUAGUCUUGAACACCAUUGGUUCAUCACUUUUCUUCAUUGAUCUAGAUAUUCUGGAAGUAAAUUCAUACAAAUCAGUGUAAGUGUGUUUACUUUGUUUAAAAAAAUAUUAUAUGCUCUCACAAUAAAAGAAGGGCUAUUCUCACAAAAUUUAUGAACUAAUGUUCUGUUUUAACCUCUACAGCUUUUCCAAAUGCACAGAACCUCUAAAAAUACUGCCACCUUUUACAAAACAGGCCCGUGAAGCUCAAAUCUUGCAGACAGCGAAGGUCACAAUUGCAGACGCUGAAAUUUUCAUGCCAAAAUAUGAUGUGGAGGAUGAGAAAUUGUUUGCUGUUGUUCUCUUUUCAGUUUUGCAGGCGAUGAUCUUUUACCAAAUGUCGAGGAGCUUCCAUGGGACAUGCUCUAUGCUCUCGCUUCCCAGUUGCCUCUGUUGGGGUUGGAAAAGCUACAGAUCACAAUGUAAGUCAAAAACAGUAAAGUUCCCAAGAUGUUCUGUGCUGGAGCAGAUUUAAAGGUACGAAUUUUUAAUUUUUUUGUGAAGUCGAUGUUUUGUUUUAAAAGGAGUUAUAAUGGAUUGAUUGGACAAGUACAGAGUGUUUGUUUGUUUGGUUGAAUGUAAAAAGGAAUUGGAAGAAUGAUGAAAGUACUUGCAUUUGGUUGUAGUUGGUCAGGCACUGAAGGACCGGUCAAUACGAAGUGCAUCUGUGGGACAAUAGUUGAAAGAAGGCCAGAGCAGGAAGAGAAGGCAAGGUUUGUGAAGAAAAACAGUAAAAGGUCGUACCCAGUGCACAAGGCUCCCGCUUUACGCAAGGUCUGGGAGAGGUGAAUGUCGGCUAGCCUUACCCCCAUUCUGCUUUUGUUUAAUUAGAAGAAAUGUGCAUUUUUUUUUCCCAGUCAAAUUCUGCUUUUGUUCUGACUAUUUUCCUUACUGUAUGCUGAUUUUAUUAUUUAAUUUUUGGUUUUUCCUUGAUUGGCUUGGGAAUUACAAUCAAAUGAUGAAUCUUCAGUUUACUUGGGUAAGCAUUUUUUAACAUAUAAUUUAGCUGACCAUUUUAACUGUCAGACCAUGUUGUUUUUGGUUAUCUAAUCAUUCCAAGAUGGCAAGUUAGGAUUGGAAGGGUUGCUAGAAAUAAGGAUUAUAUCUUGGGACAUUCGGUGAGUGAUUUUUCAAACUUUCAGUUUUACAAGACAAAAUAUCUAUUUUUGUGUGUAUUCUUCAAGCAUGUUAUCAUUAUUUAGGUUGUAGGAAAAAAAGAGAGUGACUUGAGGUGUUUUUAGAUAUUUUUGUGUGUAUUCUUCACAAUGUAUUAAAAGCGCGAGGCGUGGGCGAGGCGUCCGAGGGAUAGCCCACGCCUCACGCCUUACGGGACCUAAAUUUUUUAAUAUAUACACUGAGCGUACACAUAUAUUAUAUUAAAAAAAAUUAUUAAUCAAUAAUCACCCUGAGCACACAUAUAUAUUAUAAAUACAUAUAUACACAUAUAUAUACAUAUAUAUACAUAUAUUAUGUUAUAUAUAUAUAUAUAAAAUAGAGGAUGAAAAGCACAAUGAGCACACAUAUAACAAUGCAUGCAGACAGCACACAAUAUAGUGCAAGGAAUAGGUAUGAGGUAGUUAAAACCCUACCCAAAAUCUGGGUUUGGGAGUAAAAAUAAAAAAAAAAAAAAAAAUUGCAUGAGGCGCGCCUAGACGGCUCCGACAACGCCUUCCGGCGCCUUCCGCCCACUCCCUCAAAACAAAGGCGGCAACCCUCAAGUCCAGCCUCACAGGGUGCCUAGGCGCACCCUGAGGUGAGCCUUUUAAAACAUUGAUUCUUCAAGCAUGCUAUCAUAAUAUUUGUAACUAUAAAAAAUAAUAUACUAUUAUACCUCUGUUUCUCUUUUCUUUGUUUUCAUGAGAAAUUAAUUGCCAUUGGCAGCACUAUAGAAAGCCAUCUUUCUCCAUUAUUCUCCGCUUCAUGCAUAAUUACAUAAUUCUACUAUCACAGUUGUCAGUCCUGAACAAUAAUGCAAGUCUAGUGGCAAAAACCACCUCAAUGAACAACUCACACACACACACAGACACUGAUCAUACAUCUCUAACUCUCUUUUUCAAAUAACACACUCUGAUCCAAAACAGGGUAAAUAAAAUGCACAUCCUUAUACAUUUCUAACUUUGUUUUUCGAAAUCCAAAAUAGGGUAUUCUAACUCUCUUUUUCAUUCAUUUCUUACAAACCAAUCAUACAUUUAAAAUAGGCUUUGAAUAAAAAUAGGGUAUAUAAUUAUAUACCUCAAAAUGCCUAGGAACCAACUUCCCCCUCCAACGAUUCAAAUUCUUGAAAUUGCCAACACAGUAAAUCCAUUAGUACUAUAUAAAUGAAAACACAAUUGAAACCCAUCAAACAAAACAAUCCCACAAUUUAAAUGAUUCAAUCCUACUACAAUUGAAAUUCACAGAAAGAAUGAAAAACCAGAACAAAACUGCAGCACCUAAAAAGUUGUCAUACAAAAAAAAACAUGGAAUGUAAAAAUAUGUUAAGAAAUCUAGUUCGUUAAUUUCCAGCUGCUAAGUGGCAUUAUGUAACUUUAGUAGUAUAACUAAUUAACUACUUAUCUGGUGGGUUGCACUUUUAUCCAAUUGGUAAGGAAAGGAAAAUAAAAAUCAACCCCUUGGUCUUAGUUGUGGCUGCAAAGUGCAGGCCACCACCAAGUCUCAGUGUUUGUGUUUUAGCAAAACACUUAAAUAAAUUAAAUUCUGAAACGUAAAUUAUAUUCCUAUAACUUUAAGAUGCACAUAUAGUAUUGUUGAAGUCGAACUGAAAGCACUGACAAUUCCAAGCAACAAAGCAGCAAUUAUUAAGAGCCAAAACUCAUUCCUAGUCUCCUCAUCCUGGUACUCAACUCCGUAAUCUUCUGUCAGCAUCAUUGACUGAAAUUAGGAGAGAAAAAGAAAAGGAAUUUCAGAAAUUGUCUAUGAAGCAAAGGAUACUGCAGUUACUUCAAGACAUGUAAAUUGCAUAUGUAUAAAGUAAUUUUCUACAUAAAGUAAUGAGGCAUAACUUUCUCUCUCCUCUUCAAACCCUAAACAGAGCAAAGCAAACUUUACAGAGAUUAGAAUGAGAACUGGAACUAAUCGAACAAUGACUGAAAAGUAACAUACUUGAGGAGUGAAUGAUUUAGUGUUUCCAUCAUCGGAAGCCGGAGUAAGUCGCUAAGAGAGGUCGCAAACAGCCCAAAGGGACAAACCCAGAUCCCCGGCCCCGAUCCAUACCCUUCCCCCUCAAAUCCCGACGGCCCCCAUACUUUUCUCUGACUGUACCCCCUCUCCCACUCAUGAAAUCGAGGAUCUGUCGCAAUGGUACUGAGAUCCCCACUCCUCCCUCUCCCUUUCUCUCUGUCGCUCUGUCUCCCUCUCCCUCUGUCUGUCUAUCUUUAUCCCAGAGCGGCAUGGCCUCCCAUCCCUGAAACCCUCACCGAAAGUUGGCAAUUUUGUAAAUAACUUGAAAUCCACCAACAGCAGGGGUAGAGAAUUGAAACAAACAUUUAGGCUCGUUCGAUAACCAUUUAGGCCAAAACUGAGCACACCUAAACCAUUCCUACUCGUGCCAAAUGUUAGUGGGGAAGCAAGAUGAUGACUUUAUUAUUCAAAACCAAAAGAAAAAAAGAGAGAAAACAAAAUAACAAAUGUAAUGGUUGUAGUGUAAAAGCUGAGAACGUAAAUAAACAUGCAGGGAAAAAAAUUGAAGAUACAAAGUAGCUGCAUCAUGAACACUUACUCCAAUUAGACGCAAAAAGUGAUGGUGAUGAGAAGAGAGAGAAAAUGCAGUCGUUUUGAUUUUUCUGGCUUUUAAAGGGAGCAGCUUUCUUCGACCACCAAAAAAAGGAAGCUGCUUUUCGUGUGGUUGUGAUUUCCUGAGUGUAUGUGAGCGGGUCUAUGGCACUUGCACUGUUUGUGUCGGUUACGGUAACCGGGCGAGCUGGACACGGCAGCGUGGGACUGAAUUCGGAGAGGUGAGAAAAAUUAAAAACACAAAAAGAAGGUGUUCAUUUUGUCACAUUUUUAUUACGAAAAAUUCAAUAAAGUACAUUCAUUAGUAUGGUAACUUAACUAUUUAAUUCCAUCUCAUUAAACUAAAAAAAACAAUUACAAAAAAAUAAGGAAAACCUUGUCCAGAGAGACCUGAGAGAAAGUGACGACUUCUCCUCUCAUUCAACUCCAUACUUGAUCUCUAAAGUCCAUUUGGCAUGUAAUUGAUGUUCACUUUCAAAUUUAGUGGUAGCAAUUAGCAAAGCUAAUGAAAGAAUCAAAUAAAAUGAAAGAAAAAGCAUCAUGAAAUAAAUCAAGAUGAAGAAUGAAAUUUUGGCAACUCGCCAUUCUCUUCUUUUAUAUAAAAGAUACAUCCUAUUUGUAGUGAAAACAGAUCCCGACAAACCCAGUUAUCCUCAAGAAGUAUUUUGUAUGACUUUAAAAACAUAAUCCGUGAAAUUAUCUCUUGGCUGAGAACAACAACAAAUCUUCAUGCAUAGCUUGUAGAGAAAGACAUCAGGCAUACAAAAGAACACGCAAGCAUAAAAUAAACGAAGCAGGGAAAACCAAAAAUACAAUUGAAUACGCUGUCAAAAGAACAUGAAUAAAUGAAAAUACCAAACAAAGCAGUGAUGAGAAACCAAAGUACCCAUUUCAUAAUCUAAUUGCUUUUUAGUUUGCUUGCCAUUUUUAGUUCUUCAAUUUAGAGAGACACCAUAAUUCAGCACAUGAAUAAAGUGAAAACGUAAAAGAUAUGUGGGAUAGGCUGACAGCCAUCCCUGAGUAAUGCAUUCACUUCUGAACCCCAAACACACUGAAACAAAAAUUCACACACAUGAACUACAGCUCCGCUUUGUAACAAGAAUUAAAAGCAUCUCAAAACAAAAUGGCAAACUAUAAGAGCAUUGUAAAAGUAAAAUUGCAAGAAAUCUAAUACUUGGAGGGCAAGUACUCAUCAGACGAAAAUGAAAGAUUGAACUACCUCGCGUGGAACUGUGCCUUGGUUUUUUCCCAUGCUUACAGGAAGCUUUGCACUGAGCUCUUAUAGUCCAAAUUUUCUCUGAAGGAAAAAAACACAAUUUUGAAAUAAGAUUUUCGUAUUAUACCUUAAAGAGAAGAAUUAGACAACAAAAUAGAGAACAAUGAGUACUAUUCAUCAUAUAUUGUUAGAGUAUGUGGCCCUCUGGUCCAAUGGUCCCGCAGCCAUAUUUCCUUUAUAACUCUUUCUUUUAAUCUAAAAAACAUCUUGAAUCUCAAAUUAGUAUGAAUACGGAUUCAUACUUUAUAACUAAAGAUCUUACUGCUCUUGAUAAGAUGAACAAUACGCCAUUUCUCGCAUGCAUUGCAUUACAAUCACAAUGCAACAUCUCAUUAGAAAUCCCCACACAAAUUUUUUUUAUUGCUACUUUGAUUUUAGUUUAUAUUUUUUCUGAAGCAUGAGGGAGCUAAUUUUUUUUUUUAAAUUUUUUAUUCCAAUAAUGUUAUAGGGAGGGUUGCAAGGAUAUUAUCAAUUGUAUUUGAUUGGUGGAACUUCUACAUCUAUAUUUUAGGUUUUCAAUUUUAGCACUGGGAGAGUCAUUCAUAAAAUGUUUGACAGUGAGAUUACCUCCAUGGACUAUGCUCACAAUGGACAGCUCAUUUUCCGCGGUGAUGGGACAAUAUAUUUCAGUCAUUCGCCAUUCAAUCAAUUCAAACUGAGGAACAUGCAACAUCAAGAAGAGGAUCUACCAUGUCAGGAUCACUAUCGUCCAAUUAAUACAAAAAAAUCUAGAUAAAAACGAUCAAUUUACAUAAAAGCCCUUCAUUUUCUCAGCAACCAAGCAAAAGAAAAUACCUAUCCGUUAAACACUCGAUUUGGGAGUAAAUGUUGCUGAAACUGGACUUCAAUCCCCUCAACCGCAACAACCGAAUCGAGGUGUGCAAGUCAUUGAAAAACUCACCCAAGAUUUCAAAAUCUGCAUAGAGAAAUAAAUAAGCACAUAAAUUAGCCCAACCCAUAAAUCAAAGAAAUCAAAAUCCACCCAGAAUCAAAGAAAUCAAAAUCCAUCCAGAACCAAAGAAAUCAAAAUCACACACAGAUAUGCAAGACAACGCAAAUUUGAAGCCUUACUUUUCGGGUAGCUUGGCGGCUGACAUGAGUCUUCUUCAGAGUUUCAUCCAUCCAUGGAUCCAUUUGGUCCGCCCGUCGCUUCUGGGUCGUACAAUCUUAAAAUCUGCAAAAUGAAUUUAAAGAAUCAAUUUUUACGAUUGAAAAGCCAAAAGUGCUACAAACUCCAAAUUGCUGAGAACCAAAGUGGAGUAACAGUUACAGGUCACGAGAUGAGAUGAGGACAUUGUCGGAUUUCAGGGCGAACCUGACUCUGGAAAUUGCAUCUCGGAUCGGGCUUUCGAACUUCAAAGGAGCUCCGCUCAUUGUGGUCCUUGCAGACCGAACUGGCCUAACAAUCAGCGAGAGAAAGGAGACGGCGGCAAGAUGAGGGAUACAAUGGAUGCGAGAUCGUCUGUAUCGUUCUCGCGGGGGGUUUGCAAGACGGACGAGGAAAGUAGGGUUUGAUGAGGCAUUGUCUUCGCGCGGGGUAUGUGUCCUUCCCAUUCCAUGAUUAUCAACACGUGUGCAUCAACAGAAGCGGCAGAGAGAGGCAUUAUUGUAAAUAAAGUGAAAUCGAAGGGCAAUGGCCCUUUUUUUUUUAAGGUAAUGGCAUGGCCAUAAAUAGAAUGAAAUCCAGAUCAAAACACUGUCAUUUGUACAGUACAAUUUCUCCAUCUUCUUUAGACUAAAGUAAUGUAUAUGUUAUACGCACCAACACAAGUCCUUCUUAGAUAAAUCCAAGCCAAACAAUUACAGACGAUAGUUAUUCACAAAAUCACUUUAAAGUAAGAAUUUAAUUAAUAAUACAUUACUGCACUUUCUUAACAAUUUGACUAUCACCUAGCUGACAAUGAACAUGUUAGCUAUGCGUUAGAACAUAUUGGGUUCAAUCCAUUGUCUUGAAUAUUACCCCCAGUCACAGCCGUCUCUUGGGGGCAUACAGAAGGCCUGAGAGGCAUUUGCAGACAUUCAACAUCUCCUCCAAGCAUUUCGACAACUUUGGACAUCGAAGGGCGAUCACUUGGUUUCAUUUGAAUACACCACAAGGCGGUUAUAACCACCUUUCUUAUCACUUUCUUUUCCUUCUCUGUAACAUUGUCUAUUUCCAAGUCAUUUCCCACAAAAUACUGAUCGUAUACCUACAGCGGGAAGUAGAUUUGGCUUGGAUGCUCUACCGUUGCAUUCAAAUUCUUCCUUAUGCUUGCCAUUUCCAUCAACAACAUUCCAAAACUAUAGACAUCGGCCUUGUAUGAGACACCUCCAAUAUUUUUGUAGAACAACUCAGGAGCAAUAUAUCUCAUUGUACCCCGUGCUGUCGUCAAAGAGACAAUGCUAUUAUCUACUGGAUACAAUUUUGCAAGCCCAAAGUCAGAAACCUUUGCUUUAAAGUUCUCAUCAAGAGGGAUGUUAUGAGGCUUGAUGUCAAAAUGUAGAAUUUUCAUUUUACAACCUUGAUCUAGAUAUUCGAUCCCAUGACUCCAAGAGAAAUCUUGUACAUAGUCUUGAUAGUUAAGGGAAGACUUCCUUCUUUGGAAUAAAUGUAUUUAUCAAAAGAGCCAUUAGGCAUAAAGUCAUAUAUUAGAGCGCGCUUUGAUCCCUCGACACAAUCACAAUCACAAUCACAAUCACAAUCACAAUCACAUUCCAACAUGGAAUCCUCAGACGACAUGCCUACUGCAGAACAAGUUUCAUCCUUACUUAACUUCUAUUUAGUCCACUUCCUGUUUAGAUUGUAAUCCUAGUUCUGCGUGUGUUUGUAUAGUACUCCUAUAAAUAUCAAUGAAAACCGCUCACUCUAAUUAGGAGUUGAGAUUCUGCAAAUCAUAUUUACUAUCUUUCAUGGUAUCACGAGCCAAGGUCUAACGACAACGGUUCCUGUUAUAAUUUUUUUCUCUUUUGUAGAUCCUAAACUAUGGCAUCUUCUUCCUCCUCCGAUGCUCCCUCCGUCACAAAUUUUCUUACGAUCAAGCUCGACCUCAACAACUACCCUCUCUGGCGUGCUCAAUUUCUUCCCUUGCUGCGCAGCCGCAACUUACUCUCUUAUGUUACUGGCGAAACUCAAUGCCCAUCUGCCUUUGUUCUUGAUGACAAUGGUAAAUUCACAGACAAAGUCAAUCCAUUAUAUAAUGAAUGGAUCCAGACUGACUAGAUGAUCCUAUCUUGGAUUACGAGUUCUCUUACUCCCAAGGUUCUUGCUACGAUCGUCAACAAAAUUGAUUCGACCUCUGCUUGGUUGUCAAACCCGAAUUAAUCUGAUUAUGGGGGUUUUAUUUUAUAUCAAUAUAUUGCAGCAGAAGUCGCACUUUGAAGAGUUCAUGCUGCACAGAAAGAUUCUUAAAUGCUACCUGUUGAGUCUAUCAUUGCUCCAUUGGAGACAGAGCUGAAGCUUGCUGCAGGAGUUAUACAUUUGUUAUGCAAUAUGACCCCUUUAAUUUUAUUUUAAAACUGAUACAAAAAUUUAUGUAGUAUUUUUGUAUCAGUUUUGAGUGUCUAUUUUGGCUUCCAUAUUUCGUCUGUACAUGUGAGAGGUAUAGCGUUCAAUAUGUAUUUGGUUUCUAUAUUGUUAAUGGAUCUUUUUUUUUUUAAGAUAACCAAGUUGCAGGAUGACAGCAGAACACUUGAUCUGUAGGUAAACCUUCAAUUUCCAUAUGAAGUUUGCAUGUUCGUUGUUUCUGGAAUUUGAGUUUUUAUUAUUUCUCAAUUCUAUCACAUAGAUUACGAUUUCACAUAUGGGAUUAUUAAUGGCAAUUAGAUGAUGGAAGAAUUGGGAUUGGAAGAAGAUAUUGAGUUGUUUAUUUAUGGGGAUUAGAAAAUUUUUAUCAUAAGUGUGGAUGCAAAUUUCUUCCUCCUUGAUCUUGGACAAAAUUGCACCUACAAAACAAUUAACACCUUAGGUCAAGGCCAAGAGCCUCACGCGCUCACGAUGAAGGGGGGGGCUUUGGUCGAAGAACCUCCGAUGCCAAAGUUAGAAUUUAGAGAGAAAAAGUGUUUGAGAAUUCUAGAGAAUUUUAGCAAGAGUUGCAACUAGGUUUUGGUGAGAAAUGUGGGGCUUUCUAUAGAGGAGUGGCCGGCCUCUUAGGGUGAGAAAGGACCGGUCACAUAGCCUAGUUUGUGGGUUUUGUUCAUGAUUUAAGAUGAUUUUGGGAGUUAUGUGAUUAAUUGACUAAUUAAUUAGGAAAACUAAUAAAAAGGGCUUGAAAACUUUGAGUUUUAAUGAUAAGGACAAAAUAAAGGGUAAAGUGAAUAGUACCAGGAUUGACUUUUUAGUGUAAAAAUGUGGUUUUUCGUUAAAAUGAACAGUACCGGGUGCUUUUCGUUAAAGUUCCCUAAUUAAUUUGGCGAAAUAAAAUUAUUACCAAAUGAAUUAGCUAAUUAAUGGGAUGAAAUGGGCAAAUAUCAAGAGAUAAACAAAACAUGACCAAUUCCUUUUCUAACAAUAGGUGGCCGGCCCUUCACUUGUUUUUGGGGUUGCAUGGAUGUUUUAAUUGACAAUUAAGGAAUUGAUUAGGCAAUUAAUCCCUUAAUUAGUCAAUUAUUAUGAUUUUAAAGGAAGAUUUUAGGAAAUAUGAAAGGAAUAUAUUAUUUAGCUAAUUGAUUAGCUAAAUGGAAUAAAUUAGGUUUUGGGAAUUACCUUAAAUGAGGAUGGAUGAGAUAAUUUGGAAUUGGUUACCUUUUUGGAGCAUUUUUGACUUGGUUAAGGAUGAUUGCCCGCUACUUGCGCAUAGGAAUCCCGUUAUACCUCAAGGGUAUUUUUGUCAUCUUUUACCCAAAAAACCACGUGUCACCUUGUGAUUAUUUUUGGCUCCACAAUACGAGUGAUAUUUAUUUUUGUGUGGAUUGUUAAUAUAUAAAACUAUAAGCUUUUGAGAUUGGGAGACAAAACCCACAAAUUCAAUUCAGACAAAAUAAAUAAAAAAUUUAACUGACUUAAAGAUCAAACUCCAAAAGGGUAUUAAAAACAAGGCUUAUUUGAUCCAUUGAGUGUGAAAGUUUUGAGCUUUGAAGAAGCAGAGGAGGAGAGUUGUUAACCAAGCUGCAUUAUCUAUGUAUUAGGAUGUUGAGGGUAGGCAGGAAAAAUACUUUUUGACGCCAAAUCCAGAGGAGCAUAACGACAGGCCUGCAUUUUUGCAGCAAGGACCAAAACAAGUAUAAGUGAAGGCUUGACUGUUUGGGUAUUAAUCCUAAACCUAAUUAUUCUUAUUUAGGUUUAGGAUAAAUGAUUGAGUGUGUCUCGAUGAUUGUAUUACUAUGUUUGAUGAAUGAUUUGAGGAGUUGGAAAUGGUUUAUUGCUUAUGUUUUUCUUAGGUGUGUACUUUGGUUAUUUCCGAGCUUUUCACGACUUUUGAUACCUAAUAAAGAAUAUGGAAACCCCAACUUCAAUUUUAUGAAUUGAUUUUGGUGCCUAAAAUGAAAUCUAGCAUAGUGAAAUCUUGCAUAAUGAAAUUAUGACAAAUUUCCCUUCAUCUUUAUAUUUUCAUUUAAUUCAAUUGGUAUGCAAUUUAGGGUUAUUCAAUUCAUGAGUGAUCAAAUUAUGUUUUUAAUUCCUUCUUUUGAUUUACAGUUCAACAUUGUCGUACAAAAUGAAAAAGGCGCCAGUAACAGAGUUAUGGAUUUGGAUGCCUUUAGUGGAAUAAAACUGAAUUUUUUAACUUUGUAUAGUUGUAAACAUAAAAUACUCCAUGAGGUAGACUCAUAGCUUUUGAAAACAAUCCUUGAGGAUGGCAUAACAACAUCUCCAACUUUUGUCAUGUAAUGUAUGAAUGUAAAUAGCACUUCGUAAACAUAUGGAUGUAAUAUAUGUAUAUAAACACUCUUUAGCAUGUAUAUUUUUCAAAACUUUCUACAUCUUCAACAAUGUUUCAAUGAUUUCUUGAUGUAAACAAUGAUAAUUUGAAGAACCAUUUAAAGUAUUUUGGUAAUCAUCAUACUUAAGCUUAAAUGUGAUAUAUCCGUUUAUUAUUUUUUAUACAGUGAUAAUACUCAAGUAUAAUUUACAUCAUAUAUCUUUUGAAGUACAUGAAACUAUGAAGAAAAAACCCUAAUUAAUCUGAUUAUGGGGGUUUUGUUUUAUAUCAAAAUAUUGCAGCAGAAGUCACACUUUGAAGAGUUCACGCUGCAUAGAAAGACGAUGAAAUGCUAUCUGUUGAGUCCAUCAUUGAUCCAUUGGAGACAGAGCUGAAG
rnacentral:lncRNA from 1 species